AGGCCUCUAAAAUUAGAGAGCAUCGUGAUUCAUGACGCCGCCCUCUCCCUGUCAAUGCUCCCUCUCGCCGGCAUCUUGCUCUGCACCGCUGCUUAGCUCACCGCUCCCCACCACCGUGAUUCAUGUCGCACCUCUAAUCCGCCUGCCGCAGAGAAACAAAGCUUCCAUUUUUAUGCGCCGGCGACGCGCUGCUGGGCGAGGAGCUGGAUCCACGUGCGCUGGCGCUAAAUCUGAGUGCGCUGGCGCUCGAUCUGCUUUGUGGAUAGGAGUGAAGAAGGUGAUCAAGCGGAGCCCGAGCGGCGCCGGCCAGCGUGAAGACGGCGGCGUGAGGAGCUGGAGCCCGAGCGGGAGGAGUUGGAGCCGCAUCUGGACGUCGCCAUGAUGAGGGCUGGAGUCGCAUCUGGACGCCCCCAUGAGCUGGACUUUCCCGGCCACGAUGACGCCGACGCCGUGAGGUUUGUUUGAUGCUUGAGCAUGCUGUAAUGAAUGAAUUCUUCUUGUACUCCAGCUUGACUGUACUCCAGAGGCUGGAUGGGUGGGUGGAGUAGGAUUAGUUAGUGCCUGCGUAGGCUGGAUGGAGUAGGAUUAGUUAGUGGAUCAGACCCGAGGUUAGUUAGUUGAUGCAUUAGGAGUAAAAUUCAGUAAGAUGUGUACUGUCUCAAAAUUUAAGAAGUCCAGCUCUGAAAUUCAGUAAAAUUUGUACUGUACUCUGAACUCUGAAGUUAAUGGAUGGAUUAUUUGAACUCUGAACUCUGAUAUUUGAACUCUAAAUUUUUUACUGUCUCAAAAUUCAGUAAGAUUUGUACUGUACUUGAACUCUGAAAUUUGGUUUUGACUGAAGAUCAGUAAGAUUCACAGUUUGUGCUGUUCUGAACAAGGGUUUUGACUGAAGAUCAGUAAGAUUAGUUGAGCUGGAGUAGAAGUAGAUACCAUGUUGUUCCAGCAAAGAGAGUUUCUUCAUGUGGAGACACUAGUUAGUGGAGUAAGAGAGUUUCUUCAUCUUGUAGUACUUAGAGUACUCCUUGCAGUAAUUAUUGCAGUAUUGUUGUACUCCUUCAAGUAAAGAUGAUUUAGGAGUACUUCAUCUGGAGACAGUAUUGCUGUACUUAGAGUACUCCUUAAAGUAUUGCAGUAGUUGGUGCAAGCUGAUUUAGGAGUACAAGACUUAAAGUAAAGAAUGUGCAAGUUUACUGUCAAGUUUCUGGAGUUCCUAUAGUAACCCUACUGUCAAUUUUAUGUUAACUUGCUACUCCUGUCAAUUUCUUGGAGUUCCUGGAGUAGAGUAGUGCACUGCCCUUAUUUGCUUGCAGGAGUAAUUAACUGAAACCUUUUCAGUUAAUUAAAAUUUGGUGUAUACUGCGUGCUUGCAUUAGUAGUGCACUACUCUUCUUUCUUGCACUUGGAGCGCGCGCGCGCGCACACACACACACGCACACACGCACACACACGCACACACACACCCACACCCACACACGCACACGCACGCACACACGCGCGCACGCCCACGCGCACGCACACGCACACGCACACGCACGCACGCACGCACGCACGCACGCACUUGGGCUAAAUGCAGUAGCCUGGAAUUAACUGGAACUCUUUUAAAACUAAAUGAAUCUUUUCAUUUAAAUGAAACCUUUUUCUUCAAUUAAUUUGUAGAAAGUGCUUCCUAUAGUUGACUACUGAAACUACUUGCUGCAAUUGACUUGGAGUACUUGUUGUCUUCCAUAAUAUGUUUAUUUGGAGUACUGAAAUUUGCAAAGAAGAAACUUGAAACUUGCUAAACCUGGAGUACUUGAUGUAGUAACUGAAUAAAUUAUGGUGCAUAAUUACUCCAUAAGUACUUGCUGGGAAUGGACAUCAUGAUCAUGCAAAGAUGAUCAUAAUGGCUAACUGCAUUUGAAGUACAGUACAUCAUUUACUGAUUAGGAGUAUGCAAAGGCCACUGUCUUUGGAGUACAAUACAUCGUUUACUUACUCCACCAAUUAGGAGUACAUGUACUGAUUAGGAGUAUGUGGUAUCUUGCCUGAAAUGCUAUAGUAUGUUGCACAUAUACUGAUUAAUACUCCUGAAAUGCUAUAGUAUCUUGCAUGAAAAUUCUACAGUAUGUACUUUACUCUAGCAACAGUAAAAUUCAGUUUAUGAUUACAACAAAUGAUUCGAAGUUUCAGUUUAUGAUUCAACAAAAUUACUCAAGUGAUUACAUCAAGUGUCAGUUUGUGACUCAAAGUUUCCUUUAUAUUAAACUAUUUAAUUAGAUUGUUUAUGAUCAUCAAAUUGUUUACUCAGAUGAAUAAGUCUCAGUUUACGAUCAUCAGAUUGUUUAUGAUUGUCAAAUUCAUGCAGAGCUGAGUACUGGGCGACGAGAUGAACCUAGGCGAGCAAAAUUGAGAACUCCAGCUCCUGUGUAGUGGAGAGUACUUCACGGCAGCACAUGUGCGUGGGGAGGAACAACCCUUGGGCGCGCGCGGGCACCAGCUCACCUCCAUCAGCGGCCGGCAGCAAAGCACUAGCUCGCCUCCACUAGCGGGCAGCAGCAGAGCACUAGCUCGCCUCCACCAGCGGGCAGCAGCGUAGCACCAGCUCGCCUCCACCAACGGGCAACAGCAGAGCACCACCUGGGAGCAUGCGGGCCAGGAGGUGCCCCUGGGUGUGGGACAAGAGGAGUGCUUGGGCAGGGGCGGAGGUGGAGGGCAGGGGCGGAGGUAGAAGACGAGUGAAGGUUGAAGAUGGGCAGAUUCAAAUUUUGAACAGGGGUAUUAAAGUCAUUUGACAGGUUUUCACCUGGUCGGAACGCGAUGCCCAACGACCUACAUUUUGGAACGGAGGGAGUACUUCUUAUCUCUUUGGUCAUUUUUUCAAGGCACAUCGCCUCGUUACUAACAACCCGCAUCUACCGCAUAAUCCCAUCCUGCACGUUCAUUCAUCCCAAGAUCCCCUCGCAUGAACCUCCCUAUCUUGCCAUCGACCGCACUACUCGCCUUCUCUAGGAUUGCACCACCCAUCACCUGGUCAGAUCUGUUCCUCCGCUUCUCUCCACCUUACUGCCUAGAUCCAUUCAGCUGCUACUCCCUUUUCCCUCUCCGUUGAUGAGCCCCCCGGGCAAUAUUGGAGGUGUGCAGGUGCGCCUUCCUGGCAUUAGUUGGCCGAGCCCAACUUCCCUUCCAUGAUUGCCGCUUCAACGGGUUACCUCCCAUGUUGGAGUAGCAGUGUAGCACCAAAAGGCUGAACAACAAGCAGUGGACUCCGGUGUUCCCCUAUUUGAAGAGCCUCUGAUCAGAGUUGAAGGUUAGUGUGUCACUCGCCCAUGCAAGUUAAAUUUCCGUUAUUUGAAGGAUUGUAGUUCUUGAGUUCUUUCUACUCCAUCUCUUGGAUUUAUUCAUCAGAGUUUGUUAACUCCGUUACAUGUUUAUGUAGUCCAGAUGCAGGAACACUACAAAAAAAAGACACAUCCGUGACAUUUUGGGCCGAACGAAUCUUUUUUCUGUCAUGCUUAUGACACUUCUAUGACGAUAAUUAUGAUAAAACCUGGUAUCAUCAUAGAUGUGGUGGGCUCCUACUUCUAUGACAAAAAAAUCAUGUCAGAAAAUGGGUUUUUCAUCCUGGGCGGGCCGGAGACGCACCUGGAUGACAUUCUUUGGGCCGUCCAUGGGCCUAGUGAUGCAUGGAGGUUUGCGCGUUUAUCUCGUACACGUACACGCAUGUGUGCGAGGUGAUGCACUUUAACUGAACCCGAGCAAGGCGUUGAGCUCUAACUGAACCCGAGCGAUUGCACUAGCUACGUUUCUGAACCCUGAUCGAUCCCUUGUUGUUAACUGAACCCGAGUGAUUCCUUCGCUACUGUUGCUACCUGCUGCCUCUUGAUGAACAGUGAACAUGGGGUUGGUUGAACGAGUCGAAACAUACGUGGUUGGGGUAUGAUGAACAGUUCCCGGUGGGGGUUGGAUGAACAGGGCCCCUAGGUAGUAGUAGUAGGCCGUUGCCGCUGGAUGAACAGGACCCCGUGAGGAGGCCACCAUAGCCGAGCAGCUGGUUGGGGUGGAUGAACAGGACCCCCUGGAGGGCUGGUUGAACAGUAGCCGAUGGAGGGCUGGAUGAACAAUAGCUCGUGGAUGAACAAUAGUUGGUGGAGGCAGGUGGAAGAUGCGGUGGAUGAACAGUGCAGGUGGAGGCUGAAGGAAGUGGACGGUGGGUGAACAGUAGCCCCGUGGAGUCUCGUUUUGCGGUACGCCACACCCCUCCGAUGAACAGGACCCCCGUUUCGGCCGUAGCGCUCCAACACAAGUCCGUUUCCUCCGUUUUGCGGUAUGCCACACCCCUCCUAAUGAACAAGACCCCCGUUUCGACCAUAGCCGGUUGAACAAAAGGCCGUUUCCUCCACUGCGGUACGCCAGGCCUUGUUUUGGCUGUUCCGUCCAAGCCGGCUGGCUCCCGAUGAACAUGACGCAUUCCAUUGCCUCUGGAUGAACACGACGCGGUCUCUGUUCUGACCCAGCCGGUUGGCUGCCGAUGAACAUGACGUCGCUGCUGCCCUCCGCUGCCUCUCCAUGUACACGAGGCCUGGUCAUAUAUAUGCGCGAGUAGGCGUUUAAGACCCCACCCGUAUGUACGCACGUGGCCGUAUUUACUUUCUUGCACCCUGGCUGUACGUACGUAUACACCAUAUAGACGGGACCGGAUGACAUGCUACGUCCGCGCCUCUACUACGACACGUGCCCUUCCUUACUCGGCCACGGUUCAUCGCUGCAGCCUACAGACAGACCGAUCGACCAGUAUGUACGUACACGUUCGCGACCAGGCAGACAACCCUACAUACCGUUCGACCGGGUGGGUCCCAGCUGUCAAGGAGGUAAGGAGGCACUUCCUUGCAUGCGAAGAUAUAGCUGGUGGGUCCCAGCUGUCAGGGCGAGAAUCAUAUUUUUUGCCCGUCAUAUGGACGCACUUCCUUGCUUGCGAAGAUGUAGCUGGUGGGUCCCAGUAGUCAGGGCGGAAACAUUUUUUUUCAUGAAAUAUGGUGGCCCGUCCGGUGGGUCCCUGCCGUCAGGUGGAGGAAUCAUUAUUUUGCGUGUAAUAAGGAGGCACUUCCUUGCUGCGGCCGUGGACCUAGCUAUCAGCCUCUCCAUGACAGUCCUCUUCCGAUGGAAGUCGUUUCUUGACCACAUUAACCAUGGAGUUCCAAGAGCACCAAGGCGGUGGACGACGGCGAGGCCUGGGAAGGGGAUGACACGGAGCCGGAUAAGACGCGACAGUGGAUGCCCACGCGGAGAGGAGUACAAGGGUUGACUGGUUCGGCUGCGGUGUGAGGCUGUCGUCACCGUAGAAUAAGAGGGGUUGUGGGUGAGUAGAGGGAUGGCCUGGCCAGAGGUUGGAGUAGGGUGGGGCGGUCAUGCCUGCGCGGCAGCAGAGCCGGCCACGGGAGGCAGGAGCAGGCGGCACGACCGUCGCUGGUUUGGGUGGCUGGAGCAAGAAAACUAGAGGUUGAAGAAGCACUACGGCCGUUGGAUGGACAUCGUACGGUCACUGGAGCUAGAAUCGUUCAUAUUGACUAAGUUGACAAAGCCCUCCGUGCGCGUCAACUUAGUAGGCCCACAAGUCAGCCUCCCACUAUGGUGGGGUCCCAGCUAGCAGGGGGAGUACUCAACUUUUGGGCGUAAUAAGGAGGCACUUCCUUGUGUGCGAAGAUAUAGUUGGUUGGUCCGAGCUGUCAGUGGGGGGGGGGGAAUGUUUUUUCGUGAAAUACAGAGGCCCUUCCGAUGGGUCCCAGCUGUCAGGUGGAGGAAUCAUUAUUUUGUGCGUAACAAGGAAGCACUUCCUUGCGUGCGGCCGUGGACCCAGCUAUCACCCUCUCCACGUACAGUCCACUUCCGAUGGAUGUCGUUCAUUGACUACGUUGACCAUGCCGCUGAGAGCACCAGGGCGGUGGACGACAGUGAGGCCCCAGACUAGAACGACCCAGAGAAGCCCCACUAUUUUCGCGUAAUAAGGAGGCACUUGCUUGUGUGGGUCCCUACUGUCAGCCUCUCCACUUACAUCCCUCUUCCGAUGGCUGUUGUUUGUUGACCAUGUUGACCACGCCGCGCUGAGAGCACAAACGUGGUAGACGAGCGCGAGGCCCAGGAAGAGAAUGACCAGGAGCUGGCAAAGCCACAACAUCGGAUGGAGUAUGUGGACUGACUAGUCAGCUGUGGGGUGAGGCUGACAUUGCCGGAAAAUAACAGAUGUGCGGGUGGGUAGAGGGAUGGCUUGGCGGCAGCACAGCCGGCCACGGGCGGAGGGAGCAGGCAGUCCCGCCAGUGCUUGUUUGGGCGGCUAGAGAAGGAAGAUCAGAGAUUGAAGAAGCACGACGGCCGUUGGAUGGACAUCCAACAGUCACUGCUAUGUGUUGAUUAAGUUGACAAAACCUUGCGUAUGCGUCAAAUUUUUUUUAGGACAGCGUCAUCGUCAACCUAAUAGGCCCAGAAGUCAGCCUCCAAAUCUGUGGAAAACAGCAUACAUCCCAUUAGCCAUUAUUUUCAAUAAUUUAUAGCCCAUUUGCCAAAUUUUGAAGCCCAUAUUCUUUUUAUUAGCAUUACAGACCAUAUUCUGGGCACUGCUAAAAAAUGCAACGAAUUUUUGCAUAUUUCGAUGGGGUUUGAACUCUUUUAAUCAUGAAAUAUCGAGUCACAUUAGAAAUAGUUUUUACAAAAUUAUAUCAAAAUAAAAUUCAAAAAAAUGAAUGAAAUUUAAAAUCUUGACUAGCAAGAUGCCCGUGCGUUGCACAGAACAUCAAGAUGCAUUUGUAUGAGUAGUUUAUCUUGUGGGAGAAAAGGAUGAACGAGGGAAGGCCUUAUCUGGAAAUGUGGAGAGGAGUGCGGGUAAAUUGUCAUAGUUUCCUUCGUAUCCGUCAGAUAUAGAUCGGACGGCCUAUAUUGCAAAUGGCAGGCACACCAUCAUCACCAACUCUGGUACAAGAGUAGAGAAAUCCAGAAAAAAUGAUAUUUGAAUGUAAUUGCCGGUUGGCUUUGGUUUAAAAAUUUACAACCCAUUUCUUACUACUUAUAGCCCAUUUUCUAGGGAAGCCCAUUUCUUAAUACUUACAUCCCUCCUCGUGUUGAAAGAUUUACAACCCAGUAGGGCUGAGAAAAGCAAGUAGACCUCGGUUCGGUAUUCUCCAAAAAAGGAACUGGGCUAGCCAUUUUCAGAAAGAAAAAAGAUAUCAACUGGGCUCGUCAUGUGCUUAAAUAAAAGCGUAAGCGUGGGCUAGACGGGCCACAGCUCCCGCACGGCGUGCAGUUGAGCUCCGUCUCUGAAACUAAAAAACAACUGGGCGAGCUGCUGGGUCCCUGGUGUUAUCCGCUCAUUGUGUAAUUUUCUUGUUUAUUGACUACAUUGACAAUGGCAUGGGACCUAGUUGUCAAACAAUUAGGAGGAAGUAUUUUUUGGCUUGUAAUAACGAGGCACCUGCUUGCGUAAUGCAAUGAUCCUGGUGGGUCCCUACUGUCAGCCUCUCCAUGUAGAGUCAUCUCCUAAUUCCUCUUGGUUGUUAACCAUGUUGACAAUGCCAUACAGAGGCGGGCACAACGAGCAAACCAAGGCGGAGAAGGACGGUGAGGCCUCGGACGGGAACGAACAGGAGCCGUGGAAGAUGCGGCAAUAUAGUGGCAGGCAGAGGGGAGUACGAGGGCAACAACAUGUAACUGAAGCUUACAAACGGUACAAAAAGCCCAAGGAUUAAUUGUUCAUAAAAUUUAGACAAAACCCGUAUUGAACAUGGCAAUAACAUCUAACCCAACCAUAGUUUUUCGCAGUCACAAACAAAUGGAUCGGUCUAAUCCAUAAAAUCAACAUCCUGUGCAAAAAUAUUUAUUGGAGGAUGACUACAAGUUGUUGUAAAUAGAAGUCGAGCUUGUUCAGAAGCCCAUUUAUCCACCUGAAACUUCUUUUUUUGCUAUUCAAAAUGUCCGUCCGUGAGAAAUCUCUUGUUGAAAAAUUUAAGCCUCAUGGACAAUAGUAACCUCAGAUUCAACAGGAAGAAUGUGACAAAGCUUCUAUUUGCCUGGUUGGAUGCAUAUCCUUCCAUCGUUAUUGUCGUCAAACGAAUGUCAUGAGAACUGAGAAAAUACUGGUGCUUUUUAGGCCACCGAUUGGUUAUAUGUUUUUCUCCAUGUGUUAGUGCCUAAGUAGACAUGAAGAUUGAAAACAAUUAAGGUCUGAAAAAAGAGUAUGUCGAAAGAGAGACAGUUGAACGGUUAAUUCUAGUACAAUAUAUACGGGCUUUCAAUGUGCAUGAAAUCAUUAUCUCUCUAUAUAAAUUCUCUAUACAUCAAAAGCAUCGCAGCAAGCCAAUAAUUAUGUUCAGAUCAUAACUAAAUAUUCUGAUAUAUAAGAUCUUGACAGAAUCCAGCAGCAUUGAUAGGCUAUCCAUGGACGAACUCUUCAUUGAGCAUAUAACAUAAUAUUAGUACCCAAAGUGUACUCCAAGAUGAUAUAAAACUUAUGCGCACAAAUGAAAAAUGAAGCUUAUGAUUACAAAUGUGUAGACGAUAAUAUACGGUACCUGAAAAAGUGAGGAGACAAACACCAACUUGUCGUGAUCAUUAAACAGAUCAUGAAUUACACCCAAGGUCUCUAGUUUGGGCGCAGAGACGACAAUUAUUUGCAAAGGUUUAUUACAAUAAUCAAGGAGCAACCUUUGAAGUGAAGGGGCAUCUUCAAUGAUGAGUUGCUGUCCUUCAAAACAAAUUCCAAUGCUUUUAAGGUGAGGCGACUUUAUUUGGAGACAACUGAUAGGGUUUUCUAUUCCCAAAACAAUCAGCAAGCGCUCCAGGGCAGGGCAACUGGAGUGGAUGAUGAUGUGCAAUGAGGCCUCUAGAAGAUAAACCACCACAAGCAAAAAAAAUUUAGAAGUGGGAGUUGAAGCAUUUGUACCAGAUUGUCUGGUAGAUGGCACCGGGCGAAGGUGGCGGUGUGGAGAGAGGAGGAAAACCAUGAGAUGGACAACGGAGGUGUGGGCACAAAUUCUUGGUGUUCGGUUCGUGGUAUGAAACUUUUGUCGUAAUGGUAGAACUCAAACUGCUGGAGUUUUUCAAAUUCAGGGGAUGCCAGCCAAGCGUCCAUCGUGCAGGGUAUGGACAACAGGUAGCGUGUUGAGAUGUAGAGGCAUUGAAUGGGGCCCUGCUGGUGAGAGGAGAUGAUGGCUCUGAGGAGAUCAAAUUUAGGAAGCACAUAUAUCUUACGACAGUCGAGAUUCAGGCGCCACCGAGUUGAGAGGACUUGUGUGCGGCAGCAAUCCUUGGCGGGGAGAAGCAAGAUGAUCUCCCCAAGGAUGUUGUCCAGGAGAUCGCUGAUGUGGUCCACCGGAGAUUCUACGGGUUCCUCAGAUCUGGGUGGGGGGCUCACCGCUUCUCCCCACGCUGCCGGGUGCGGGAUCUAUAACUGGCGUCGCCACUAGCGGAAGCCUCAUCUUCUUGGUGCUGGGGCCAGCUGACUCCAUUUUCCUUGCGGGCGUCGCGCCGAGCUCAUGGGUUUGAGCAGAGUAGCCAGAGACAAGCCUAGUGGCAGUGCGAGUGGGGAAGAAGGAGGGCUGGGGUUUUCUGUAGGAGUGGAAGAAGAGGAGCAGGUGUUUUCUGUACAAGUGAGGAAGAAGGUGAGCGGGUUUUUUUUUGUACGAGUGAGNNNNNNNNNNNNNNNNNNNNNNNNNNNNNNNNNNNNNNNNNNNNNNNNNNNNNNNNNNNNNNNNNNNNNNNNNNNNNNNNNNNNNNNNNNNNNNNNNNNNNNNNNNNNNNNNNNNNNNNNNNNNNNNNNNNNNNNNNNNNNNNNNNNNNNNNNNNNNNNNNNNNNNNNNNNNNNNNNNNNNNNNNNNNNNNNNNNNNNNNNNNNNNNNNNNNNNNNNNNNNNNNNNNNNNNNNNNNNNNNNNNNNNNNNNNNNNNNNNNNNNNNNNNNNNNNNNNNNNNNNNNNNNNNNNNNNNNNNNNNNNNNNNNNNNNNNNNNNNNNNNNNNNNAGCGAGCUGCAGUAUAAGUGGAAGCGAGGAGGAAGGAGGUUGUUUUGAGAGUCCAGUGAGAAGCGAAGAGGGAGAGUCCAGCGAGCCCCCUCUUUAAGAAAUAUGGGAUUUUUCUCGCAAAAAAACAAAUAGGCUUUAAGAUGGAUAGGCUUUUGUAUCGGCCUAGUCGGCUGCCCGUGUUUCAUACUGGAGGCCCUUAACACUAGAGGCAGCCCAUUAGAGACACUCUCCAGCUUAUUACCCAUUCAAAAUAAAAAAGAGAUAACUCUAUCUUAAUUAUGGCUCCUCAUCUGUAACAUUUUUCAACUUAAAAAAAGUUAUAGCUCCUUUUCGGGCCGGCUUGGCAUCCACCAAACUAGAGGAUGGUGUACUGCAUGCAGGCACUCACACUGGUCGUAGCGCGGCAAAAUGAGGGGUCAAAUAACAUGCCCACAAUAUACGUAGAUUGUAAAGGUUGACACGCUAACAUUCAAACUAAGCUUCACAAGAUACGGUAUGCAUACUAGUUAACAUUCACAAGCACUUAAGUUCAGCAUGUUUACGCAUCUAAAUGAUUCACAAGACUAUAACCAAGACAAAGCUGUGAGAAGGUGUAGAAAUAAAGAAAAAACAAUUGAUGCUUCUCUGAGCAAAGGGCCUCCCUACGGAUGCAUUAGUUUCAUGGGCAUGCUUCUUUCUGCUCAAUGUUGCGUGCACUUUGAGCAUGUUGGCUCAUCUUGCAAUUUACGCUGACACAUUGCAGCAAACAGAGGAGGCAAUAGAGAUCACUAAACAUCAGGCCAUUUUGUGCAAUUCCACUGGAAUCAUCUUCAUUGUCCUGAAUGUGAAAAGAUAGGAAAGCGUUAUAUUUAAAUGGUGUCGCAAAAUGGUAGCACAUAUCAAUAGCUCGGCAUGAAAAAACACGAUCAUCUAGACGAAGGGGAUACUGACCUAUGUGAGGAGACUAUGCAUAACUUUAUAGGUGGUUAGUUGUUUUCCACCUUGGGAUCUCCUAUGAUGGCACGGAGGAAAUUCUAUCCAAUCGAUGAGCGCAAUUCCUUUUAUGUGGCUAUAGAAAAUUUGUUCGACUAACCCCAAUAUCUUUUUUGUGCAGUUCCACCAAAAUAAUGCCCCGCCGUUUGCACGGCCCCUACUCGCCGGCUAGGCCAUCAAUGACUCAAACCCUUUUAUCUUGAAUUGACGGCACGACUGCAGUGCUUCUUUGCUCCUCCACACAUGACAGGCUCGUUCCACACUACAAACAGCAAGUCAGCGUAAGAAUAAGCUUAUUUCAUCUUGUGUAAGUCAUUCUACCUAGUUACGAAUGUAGGAAUACAUGGAGCACCGUGAGGUCAGCUGACAGCAGGUUCCACUAAAAUUGAGGUUUGUGCUUCCGUUUGCACAAAUAGACACCAUAUGGAGAUAGACAACCCUGUUUGCACAAAUACAAUCAGCGGCGGCCUCCCGUGUUCUACUUCUACUCGAUGAUGGCGGUGGGUGGGGACGUGCUGGCCGUUACCUUGUUGACAUCUGCGGCGGCUUCUUUCUCUGCCUGCAUGGCGCGGCUAUGCGCGCGUCAUCGGCGGAUGGUGCAGUCGCAGGCUCUGGAGGCGCUGUACGACGCGGUUGCGUCAAGGGCAGCGACAAUGCCCGUGCCUCCGUGCUCACCAACAAGCCGGCGUGGAGCAAGUCGGCACUCUUCCUCGAGCUGUAUUGAAGCGGCCAGCUGCAAAACCACGCGCUGGCUUAGUGCGGCAACUGCCUCCGACAGGCUAGGCGAGGUAGGUGGAGCAGCGAGCUGCCUCACUCAUAACUGCUGGGGCCGGCGGGCCACCCAAACAGCUUUUAUGUCGGAGAACUGCUCUUCCUGCUCGUCCGAUGCCGCCGAAAGAGUGGAGAAAAUGGUGGAAGGAGGAGCUUGGCCGGCGUCCUGCUCCUGAAUGGACGUGUGUGGCCGGAGUGGGUUUCUCGCAUUCCACGCGGGUUUCUCUCUCUCUACUUCUCUAUCCUACUCUUAUAAAACACAGAGUUGGUGAUGAUGGUGUGCCUACCAUCCUGCAAUAUAGUCUGUCCGAUUUAUAUCUGACGGAUAGGAAGAAAACAAUGGCAAUUUUGCAAAAAGAUACCCACACCCCUCUCCACAUUUGCAAAUAAGGCCUUCCCUCGUUCAUCCUUUUAUCCCACAAGAUAAACUACUCAUACAAAUGCCUCUUGAUGUUCCAUGCAACGCAUGGGCAUCUUUCUAGUAAAUGUAGGUUUUUGAAUGCGGCGAGGAGGCGGGUACAGCUGGGAGUGCAGUGGGUGGUGCCCUCGGCCGGCGUGCUGCUUCAAAUGGUGGACGCAGUGAGAGGUCACAUCCUCCCUUACCCCCUUGACCGUGUACGUCUGGCUUUGAGGACAACAUUAUCCUUGACGGUGUACAUCACCUUGUGUCCAGAUCUGAGAUGCCACGUGUACUAGAUGAAUGACUCCAAGUUCGACCACCGUGAUGCUAGGUGCGAGCCGAGAAACACCGUUGGAUAGACUCCCCUCAUAAUUUUCCUACAUUGGUCAUUUGAUUCAUAGUAUAGAAUGCUAUAGGAUUUUUUCCCUAUGUAAUCAUGUUCUAAUUGGCAAUCUAGCAUCCACUCCAACUUUUUUUUCACUUCCUUUGUUCCUAUGAAGAGAGUACUUGCUGCUCUAAAUGAUGUGCCGCUGCAAGAGCCGCCUAUAUUAAUUAACCAUGCUCUAAAAACGUGGGCCAAAUUUGGCUAUAGUAUACUACUGUAUUAGUAUAGUAGGUGACCUUGCGCUUGGCUCUUCUCCUCUUUUGGAAGUCGAACAAUAAUGAUGGUACUACAGUAGUACUUCUGGCAAUCUGACACUAAAUGAACUGCUGCACGUCCACCGCUUGCAAGCAAAAGUUACUCCUCGUGCUGCGAGCCACCACGCACGCGUUGGCGAGGGAGAAGGGGAAGGCGUGGUAAGCAAGCUUCUCGUCGUUCUGCGAGUUGAUGGGACACAUCAAAUUUAUUUAGUACUCUCUCCAAAAAGGGCCGACCAUGUCCAUGGCUACCAUCCUGUGCUCCGGCAUUGAGUACAUGCACUAUUCACGUGCCAUUGAGGAGAAAAUAUAUUGCGUAGUACUAGGUUGGGUACAACUGCGAGUGGGAACUUGUGAAUGUGUACACUCGUAAGCGGAUUCCACUUACAAAAAUCUCAGAGUGCCCUGAGGUUGAGCACACAAAUGAUCUACGUACGUUCAAAUACGAUCAUGGUAACUAUGGUCUACGGAAGAUAGCAAUUUGUCGAGUUCCCAACCGCUCUUGGGAUUACAAGAACUAUGAAGUUGUUGCUAUCUUUGACAAGCUUGUUGCCAUCGUUAAUGUUCCACGGCUCGUCCAUGGAUAUUGCUCAAAAAUCAAUUUCUGUACAUGGAUGAGUACUAUGAUGCAAUUGCAUACGAGCGUCUUGUGUUUGCUGCCACCACUCGUGGCACUGUUUUUGCAUUGCAUCCUCGUGGUUUCGGUACGUUUGUCUUCCACCAUAAUUAUAGUUGUUUCAUCCACAUGCAUGCGGAUUAGCAAGUUUCCCUUUAUUAAUUAAAAUUCUUGUGUUUCCAAGGUCCUAUGAACAUUCCACCACCUAUACUUGAAAAUUUUUAUAACCAAGGGGGAGAUGACGAUGGUGAUGAUCACGAGCAUGAGGACGAGAAGAACCUAUAUACUUAGUGGCGCCUGACAACUAAUUCCAAUGGAUCACCUCUUCUUGUCUGUAUACAGUGCACUGAGAUUGUUACUACUAAGGGAGCACGUGUUGUCUCCCAUGGCCGCCCUCUCCGGACCUAUUCCAACACUAUUGAAGAGUAUUCGGGAUGGAUACUAGUGUGCUAGCGGCAACACCUUCUCCCUGGGUCAGUAUUGAUAAUCUUGGAGAAAACUCGCUCUUCCUUGGAAAAAACUAUCCAAUGAUGGUGAAAGGCAAUCCAGCUGUUGUUGACACAAUGUUACUACCAUUUAUGAGACGCAAUUUUAUCUAUACCUCAGACAUUGCGGUGGUUCCCUACCCUGGUCCUGAUAUAUGCCGCUUCAGCCUGGAUGAUCAGUCCUGCGUUGCUCUCGAUAUUGACAAUAGCUAGCCCUUCCCAGAGCACCUAUGGUUCGAAGCAAGCUUUUCCAACGCCGAGGAUUUGUUGAGCUGAAGUUCAUUUCAUUGCUUGUUAUUUGUUGUGUGAUGAAAACUUUAGUAUUUGUAGAAUGUUUUGUUGGAAAUAAUUUGUUUCCUAUGUAAUCAUGUUUUAAUUGGCAAUCUAGCAUCCGCUCCAACUUUUUUUUUCACUUCAUUUGUUCCUACGAAGAGAGUACUUGCUCUAAAUGAUGUGUUGCUGCAAGAUCCGCCUAUAUUAAUUAACCAUGCUCUAAAAAGGUGGACCAGCUUUGGCUAUAGUAUACUGUUGUACUAGGUUAGUAGGUGACCUUGCACUUGUUUGUUCUUCUCUUCUAGAAGUUGAACAAUAAUGAUGGUACUACAGUUGUUCUUCUGGCAAUCUGACACCAAAUGAAGUGCUGCACGUCCACCGCUUGUAAGCAAAAGUUUCUCCUCGUGCUGCGAGCCACCGCGCACGCAUUCGCGAGGGAGAAGGCGUAGUAAGGAAUCUUCUCAUCGAGUUGACGGGACACAUCAAAGUUAUUUAGUACUCUCUUCAAAAAGGGCCGACUGUUACGCCCGGAUAAUUAAGCUACAGUGAAACUCUGCUAAUGAUGCCACGUCACCUCCAUUACUGUUGCUAAUCUCUCAUUAGUUCAAAACCGGUUCAAAAAUCAAAUUCAAAAUAUGGCAAACAACCAAAGUUUUCUAACAUUAAAACAAAAAUGUUCGGACUGUGCCAAUUAUUGCAUAAGUAAUUAUGGUGAAGUAAACACAUUUUUAGAAAAUGUCUAAAUACUUAAAAUGAAUUAAAACAAAAAAGAAAAAUAAAGAAAAAGAAUAAAACCAGAAACAAACAAAUACAAAAAAAAUAAAAGGGCAGCCAACCCCCCCCCCCACUGGACCAGGCGGCCCAGCUCACAGCCAGGUCGACCCACCUGGCCCAUCCGGCCGACCCAGCCCACUCCCCGUUCCCCCGGUCGCUCUCUCUCCUUCCCUGUUCCCCCUACCAGGGUCGGAACAGGGGCGCGUCCUGCCCGACCGCCUCGCCGGCACCAACGCCGGGAGGGGGUAAGGCCGCCAUGCCCUCCCCCGCCUCCUCAAUCCCGCCUCCCACUCACCCCCGCUCUCCCUCUCGAUCUCCGCGCCUCCCCUCCCCUCGAUCCACCUCGCUGCUUCCCCUUCCCCAUCGCGUCCGAAUGCCGCCAUGGACCCGCCGCCGUAAAUCGCGCGGCCAUAGCCACCGCCUCGCCUUGCCAACGUGUCCGUCGUCUCCGCCAUCAUCUUCCUCGUCGACCGGUGGCUGCAGCUGGAGCUCGGAGGCGCUGCUGCAUCGGUUCCCCUUCUUCCACAUCUCCGGUCACUGCCGCUCUUCACCAACUCCGGCGAUGACCCUCUGCUGCUACUAAACCAUUCACCGACCUCUGUGUGUGCCGCUCGGUGAGCUCCGCUAUCUCCUACUCCCUGUUUGCUCUCUCGCGCGCCCUAGCUAGCUGCUGCCGAAGCGCCCGAACGCAGCGCUGCGGAGCUCGUCGCCGAUGAGUCUCCGAUGACCAAAUGGUCAUGGGCCAGUGCCGGUUGCACUCACCGCGCCCCGUAGAUCCUCCCCAGCCUCUCCAUUUGUUCGCUAGCUCGCCAUAGCACCGCUUUUCUCGAGCUCUCGUCCGCGUCGCCGCCCGCGCUCGUCGCCGGCAGUCGUCCGGUGACCAUUUGGUCCCGGGCUCGUGCCGUUGUGCUCGCGCGCAUCGCCCCGCUCUCUGGUUUGCCCGAACUCGCUCUAUACCACCGUUGUUGUUGCUCGCCCGAAACACCUCCCCGCCGGAGAGCUCGAAACACUCGCCUCCGUCCGUUCCAACCCCUCUGGCCACCACCAUUCGACGCGCGAUACCGAGCCGUGUCGAGCGCGCCCGGCCACAGCCCAGCAGACCCCUUGUGCGCGAAAUCCGCGCCCCUCCCAAGCCGCGCCGCCGCGUUUGGCUCGCCGGAGUCAGCUCCGGCGCGUCUCCGGCCGGUGACCGACGUGGCGUCCACAUGGCACCGCCUGGGCCACUGACUGGUGGCCCCAGGGCCCCCUUUGACCUGUUGACUUGGGUCAACGCUGAUGUGCCCCCCUGUGUCUAUGACAUGUGGGUCUCGCAUGAAUAAAUGAAUUAAAAUAAAUAAAUAAACUGUUAGUUAGUUAGUUGGUUAAUUAAAGUGCUAAACACUCACUGACCAGUAGGCCCCACCCACUAAUUAGGUUAAUUAGAUUAAACCAACUCUGUUUAGUUAGUCCAGUCAAUGGCACGUGGGUCCCAUUGGACCCACAGGCCAGAUUUGACCCAGUCAACCGCACUGUUGACUGUUGACCUCAGCAUUGCGUCAUGCUGACAUCAGCAGACACUAUCGUGGAUAAUGUUAGAAUUAAAUAAUUAAAUAAAUUCUAAAAAUGAUUAAAACUUUAGAAAAACAUAGAAAAUAAACCGUAGCUCAGAUGAAAAUGUUUUCUACAUGAAAGUUGCUCAGAACAACGAGACGAAUCCGAAUACACAGUCCAUUCGUCCGCCACACAUCCCUAGCAUAGCAAACACGCAACUUUCCCCCUCCGGUUCAUCUGUCCGAAAACGUGAAACACCGGGAAUACUUUCUCGGAUGUUUCCUCCCUUCGCCGGUAUCACCUACUACUGCGUUAGGGCACACCAAGCACCGUUCAUUAUCAUGUCAUGCAUCAUCAUGCAUAUGUUUGCUUUUGUAUUUAUGGUUUCUUCCCCCUCUUCUCUCGCUAGACACCGAGACCGCCGCCGCCGAUACCCAGUACGUCUACGAUGUUGACGACCCCUCCUUCUCGGUUUAGCUUCCAGGAAAGCCCCCCCUUUGGUCACCAGAUAUCGCCUACUCUUCUCUCUACUGCUUGCAUUAGAGUAGUGUAGCAUGUUACUGUUCGGUUACUCCUAUUCUGUUGCAUAGCCUGUCAUUGUUGCUAUAGUCGUUGAUACCUUACCCGCAAUCCUAAAUGCUUAGUAUAGGAUGCUAGUUUAUCAUCAUUGGCCCUACAUUGUUGUCAGUCUACCUUGCUAUACUAUCGGGCCGUGAUCACUCGGGAGGUGAUCACGGGUAUAUACUAUACAUAUAUACAUACUAUACUAAUGGUGACUAAAGUCUGGUCGGCUCGUUGAGUACUCGCGAGUGAUUCACGGAUUGGGGGCUGAAAGGACAUUUGUCUCGACAGCCCUCUGUGUGGAUCUUUGUGGCGGAGCGACAUGGUAGGUUGAGACCACCUAGGUGAGAGGUGGGUCUGGCCCUGGUCGGCGUCCGUGGUUACUUCAAAAUAACAUGCUUAACGAGAUCUUGGUAUUUGAGCUGAGUCUGGCCACUGGCCUAUAUGCACUAACCAACUACGCAGGAACAAUUAUGGGCACUCGACGUCGUGGUAUUAGCCAAAGCCUUCUUGAGGUCAGUGACUAAGCGGCACGCGCCGGGUUAGACUGGAAUGCCUGCCCUUGUACAAGGGAGGCUAGGUCUGCUCACCGGCCACGUACGCAACGUGUAGAUGUGCAAUGGGUGAUGGGCCUAGACCCCUGCGUGCAUAGGAUUUAGACCGGCGUGCUGACCUCUCUGUUGUGCCUAGGUGGGGUUGCAACGUGUUGAUCUUUCGAGGCCGGGCAUGACCCAGGAAAGUGUGUCCAGCCAAAGGGGAUCGAGCAUGUUGGGUUAUGUGGUGCACCCCCGUAGGGAAGUUUAUCUAUUCGAAUAGCCGUGUCCUCGGUAAAAGGACGACCCGGAGUUGUACCUUGACCUUAUGACAACUAGAACGGGAUACUUAAUAAAACACACCCAGACAAGUUCCACAGACAACCCGGUGAUUGCUUUUCCAUAGGGCGACGAGGGGAGGAUCGCCGGGUAGGAUUAUGCUAUGCGAUGCUACUUGGAGGACUUCAAUCUACUCUCUUCUACAUGCUGCAAGACGGAGGCUGCCAGAAGCGUAGUCUUUGAUAGGACUAGCUAUCCCCCUCUUGUUCUGGCAUUCUGCAGUUCAGUCCAUCGAUAUUGCCUCUUUACACAUAUACCCAUGCAUAUGUAGUGUAGAUCCUUGCUUGCGAGUACUUUGGAUGAGUACUCACGGUUGCUUUGCUCCCUCUUUUCCCCCUCUUUCCUUUUCUUCUCGGAUGCCGCAACCAGACGUUGGAGCCCAGGAGCCAGACGCCACUGUGGACGACAACCCCUACUACACUGCAGGUGCCUACUACUACGUGCAGGCUGCUGACGACGACCAGGAGUAGUUAGGAGGAUCCCAGGCAGGAGGCAUGCGCCUCUUUUGAUCUGUAUCCCAGUUUGUGCUAGCCAUCUUAUGGCAACUUGUUUAACUUAUGUUUGUACUCAGAUAUUGUUGCUUCCUCUGACUCGUUUAUGUCGAGCACCUGUAUUCGAGCCCUCGAGGCCCCUGGCUUGUAAUAUGAUGCUUGUAUGACUUAUUUACUUUUAGAGUAGUGUUUUGAUAUCUUCCCGUGAGUCCCUGAUCUUGAUCGUACACGUUUGCGUGUAUGAUUAGUGUACGAUUGAAUCGAGGGCGUCACAAGUUGGUAUCCGAGCCGACUGACUGUAGGAAUCUCUCUUCCACACUCCUUGUCCGAAGUCGAGUCUAGUCACUACAAAACUUUUACUAACUUGGCUGUGUGCCUUACGGGCCCAUGUCACCAUUGGGUGGUAUUAGGAUCUUUUACUCCUCGACCUUUACUCUGGGGCUCUGAACUCUUUCCUACUCGGGUUAAACGAAUUUACUAACUCUAACAUUAGGAUCCCGUUACCACGUUCACCCCAAAGUUGGAUAAGCCAUAGUUAUUCUGUAGGGUAGUGUUUUGAAUAAUAGCCACAUUGUCAUUUGGCUCCAUUGAAACAUCUUUGUUUUCAGAUGGAACCCGCGAGGCAGGUCGUGCGCCACACGGCGACCAUUGGUGCCUCAGGAUCGCCUGCUAUGCUAGGCGAGAUGAUGACCUAUCUGGGUUAUCGCUGGCACCCUGAGUACACCGUCUAUGAGGAGUACCAGUAAUUUAACCAGGAGCAGUACCGUGCCAUCGUCCACCUCUACUGUCGGGAGUAUGACUCCACUACCGUGCUGCACACCGCUCAUGGUGUUGGAGUGACCAUCGAGAUGGCAGUCCACGAUGCUACUCAUGCUGCUCUGACAUGUCUUCAUGGAGAGUAUCGGGCAUUCGACACUUCCCCUUUCAAGCACAUUCCUAUCGCAUCUGACGUUGGUGCGGAGGGAUACUACACUGCUGCCUACUCCACCAUCACCUGAGAGCCCUUCCACCAUCAGAACCUGGUUCUGCAUGCUGAUGGGCUGGACCGAGCUAACCGAGCUCUUUCCCACGAGUUGUACACCACUCGUCAGCACCUUUACAGGGCUCUGACGUUGUUGCACCCCUUUGUCCGAUCUAGACAGCUACCAUGUUCUGCGAUCUACCCAGCCAGAACCGUGAUGCCCCACGGUGUCGGUUGGCCAGAGGUUGGAGGCUACUCUCCCACACUUGGUCCUCUUCUGCCACUUGAGCGUCGGGUUCUACACCAGAGUAUCGGCGGCCCCCAGGCCGCUGGUGUGGAGGACUAUCCGUUGCCUCACUACCAGCUGUCGGGCUACGACUACCUCACAGUUCCUCCUGGGACUGAUGUAGUCUUGCUUAUUAGUAUUAGAUGCAUUCGCCAAGAGCCUGCGUGCUGCCUAUGAUGACUUAGUCUAUGUACUGAACUCUGUGUACUGAACUCUAUGCCCGACCCCUUUUGUAAGUUAUGCCGACUACUAUGUAGUAUCUGUCGUGCUCCUUUCAUUAUGCAUGCUUCAUCAUGAAUGAUUCUUGUCUAUGCAAAUUUCUCAAUGCUGAGCUACCCCUGUUAUAUAUUAGCAGGAUGGUUAGACUAGGUGGUCAUGGUCAUGGUGGCAACGCCCACCACCGCCUGAGUACAUGGCUGGUAUGAUCCAACAACUCGAGAUGAAUCGCCAGUUCAUGGAGAAUAUGAUGGCUUAGUUCCCUCGCCCCAAUAUGAACCAGCAGCCAACCCCAGUAACUACAGGAUUUCAUGCAUCUCAACCCAACCAUCUACCGCAGCUCAACUCAGCCUCUGGAUGCUGAUGACUGGCUCCGUGACAUCACCUAUGAGCUGGAGUCUGCUGGUGUAGCCCCCGCCAGCUAUGUCACCUUUGCUUCCUUCUUCCUGAAGGGACCAGCAACUCAAUGGUGGGACAGCCACAGGCGUACUCUGCCAGUUGGAACAAUCAUCACCUGGCAUGACUUUCAAGCUGCCUUUCGUGCCCGCUUCAUUCCUCAGGGGAUCAUGGACAGGAAGAAGCGUGAGUUCCGCAACCUCACCCAGGGCAACAAAACUGUGGAAGCUUAUCAGCGGGAGUUUCUGGACUUAUCCCGCUAUGCUGAAGAAGACAUUGCAACUGAUGCUCGCAAACAGGAGAAGUUCCGUGAUGGACUACAAGCUGACAUCAAGCUUGCAUUGCUAGUGCAUGACUUUGCCGAUUUCACCACCGAUACGUCUCCAACCUAUCUAUAAUUUUUGAUUGUUUCAUGCUAUUAUAUUACCCCUUUUGGAUGUUUAUGGGCUUUAUUUUACACAUUUAUAUCAUUUUUGGGACUAACCUACUAACCGGAGGCCCAGCCCGUAUUGAUGUUUUUUUUGCCUAUUUCAGUAUUUCGAAGAAAAGGAAUAUCAAACAGAGUCCAAACGGAAUGAAACCUUCGGGAGCGUGAUUUUUGGAACGAACUUGAUCCAGAGGACUUGGAGUGCAAGUCAUGAAGCAGCCGAGGCAGCCACGAGAGGGUAGGGCAUGCCCCCCUACAGGGCGCGCCCCCCUGUCUCGUGGGCCCCUCGGGCGGCCACCGACGUACUUCUUCCUCCUAUAUAAGCCUACGUACCCCGAAAUCAUCCAGGGAGCCAACGAAACACAAUUUCCACCACCGUAAACUUCUGUAUCCACGAGAUCCCAUCUUGGGGCCUUCGCCGGCGCUCCGUCGGAGGGGGAAUCGACCACGGAGGGCUUCUACAUCAACACCAUAGCCCCUCCGAUGAGUUGUGAGUAGUUUACCACAGACCUUCGGGUCCAUAGUUAUUAUCUAGAUGGCUUCUUCUCUCUUUUUGGAUCUCAAUACAAUGUUCUCCCCCUCUCUUGUGGAGAUCUAUUCGAUGUAAACUCUUUUUGCGGUGUGUUUGUCGAGAUCCGAUGAAUUGUGGAUUUAUGAUCAAGUUUAUCUAUGAGAAAUAUUUGAAUCUCCUCUGAAUUCUUUUAUGUAUGAUUGAGUUAUCUUUGCAAGUCUCUUCGAAUUAUCAGUUUGGUUUGGCCUACUAGAUUGAUCUUUCUUGCCAUAGGAGAAGUGCUUAGCUUUGGGUUCAAUCUUGCGGUGUCCUUACCCAGUGACAGAAAGGGUUGCAAGGCACGCAUUGUAUUGUUGCCAUCGAGGAUAAAAAGAUGGGUUUAUAUCAUAUUGCAUGAGUUUAUCCCUCUACAUCAUGUCAUCUUGCUUAAGGCGUUACUCUCUUCUUAUGAACUUAAUACUCUAGACGCAGGCAGGAGUCGGUCGAUGUGUGGAGUAAUAGUAGUAGAUGUAGGCAGGAGUCAGUCUACUUGUCACGGACAUGAUGCCUAUAUACAUGAUCAUGCCUAGAUAAUCUCAUAAUUAUUCGCUUUUCUAUCAAUUGCUCGACAGUAAUUAGUUCACCCACCGUAAUACUUAUGCUAUCUUGAGAGAAGCCUCUAAUGAAACCUAUGCCCCCCGGGUCUAUCUCUUAUCAUAUUUGCUUUCAAUCUACUUUUAUUUGCAUCUUUACUUUUUGCAUCUAUCUUAUAAAAUACCAAAAAUAUAUUUAUCUUAUCAUACUAUCUCUAUUAGAUUUCACUUUCGCAAGUGGCCGUGAAGGGAUUGACAACCCCUUUAUUGCAUUGGUUGCGAGUUCUUUGUUUGUUUGUGUAGGUGCGUGGGACUUUUGAGGAGUCUCCUACUGGAUUGAUACCUUGGUUCUCAAAAACUGAGGGAAAUACUUACGCUACUAUUGCUGCAUCACCCUUUCCUCUUCAAGGAAAACCAACGCAAGCUCAAGACGUAGCAAGAAGGAUUUCUGGCACCGUUGCCGGGGAGGCUUCCACCAAGUCAAGUCAAGAUUUGACCUCCCGCCAACGUGCGAUUUCUGGCGCCGUUGCCGGGGAGGUCUUUGCUCAAGUCAAGACAUACCAAGUACCCAUCACAAACUCAUCUCCCUCGCAUUUACAUUAUUUGCCAUUUGCCUCUCAUUUUCCUCUCCCCCACUUCACCCUUGCCGUUUUAUUCGCCCUCUCUUUCCCAAUCUCCUCCUCUCUCUUUCGCUUGCCUUUUUCUGUUUGCUUGUGUGUUGGAUUACUUGUUGCCAUGGCACAAGAUAAUACCAAACUGUGUGAUUUCUCCAAUACCAAUAAUAAUGAUUUUCUUAGUACUCCGAUUGCUCUUGUUAAUGAUGUUGAGUCUUGUGAAAUCAAUACUGCUUUGCUGAAUCUUGUCAUGAAAGAUCAAUUUGCCGGCCUUCCUAGGGAAGAUGCCGCUACUCAUCUAAACAACUUUGUGGAUUUGUGUGAUAUGCAAAAGAAGAAAGAUAUGGAUAAAGAUAUUGUUAAAUUGAAGUUAUUUCCGUUUUCACUUAGAGAUCGUGCUAAAGUUUGGUUUUCGUCUUUGCUUGAAAAUAGUAUUGAUUCUUGGAACAAGUGCAAAGAUGCUUUUAUCUCUAAGUAUUUUCCUCCCGCUAAUAUCACUCUUAGGAACGAUAUUAUGAAUUUUAAACAACUUGAUCAUGAGCAUGUUGCCCAAUCUUGGGAAAGAAUAAAAUUGAUGAUUCACAAUUGCCCUACUCAUGGUUUGAAUUUAUGGAUGAUCAUACAAAUUUUUUAUGCCGGUUUGAACUUUGCUUCUAGAAAUCUCUUAGAUUCGACCAUGGGAGGCACGUUUAUGGAAAUCACGUUAGGAGAUGCUACAAAACUUCUUGAUAAUAUUAUGGCUAAUUAUUCUCAAUGGCACACCGAAAGAUCUUCUAGUAAAAAAUGCAUGCUAUAGAAGAAAUCAAUGUUUUGAGUGGAAAGAUGGAUGAACUUAUGAAGUUAUUUGGUACUAAAAAUACUCCUCUUGAUCCCAAUGAUAUGCCUUUGUCUACUUUGAUUGAGAAUAAUAAUGAAUCUAUGGAUGUGAAUUUUGUUGGUAGGAAUAGUUUUGGAAACAAUGCUUAUAGAGGAAACUUUAAUGCUAGACCGUUCCCUAGUAAUCCCUCUAAUAAUUAUGGAAAUUCCUAUGGUAAUUUUAAUAACAUGCCCUCUGAUUUUGAGAAUAGUGUGAAAGAAUUUAUGAUCUCUCAAAAGAAUUUUAAUGCUUUGCUUGAAGAAAAAUUGCUCAAAGUUGAUGAUUUGGCUAGAAACGUUGAUAGACUUUCGCUUGAUGUUGAUUCUCUUAAACUUAGACCUUCUCCUCCUAAGCAUGAUAUCAAUGAGUCUCUCAAAGCCAUGAGAAUUUCCAUUGAUGAGUGCAAGGAAAGAACCGCUAGAUUGCGUGCUAAAAAAGAUUGUUUUAUAAAAGCGUGUUCUUCUAGUUUCCAUGAAAAUAAUGAUGAAGAUCUCAAAGUUUAUGAUGCGUCUCCUAUUAGAUCUUUGUUUUGCAAUAUGAAUCUUGAUAAUUAUGGGACUGAAGAUGAGUCAACUUUACCUAGAAGGCGUCCCAAGAAUUCGGAGUUUUUAGAUCUUGAUGCUAUAUUUGGUAAAAGUGGGAUUGGAGAGGUCAUGACUUUAAAUAGUAUUGAACCCACUAUCUAGGAUUUCAAGGAAUUUGAUUAUGAUAAUUGUUAUUUAGAAGGUUGUAUUUCCUUGUUGCAAUCCGUUGUUAAUUCUCCUCAUGCUUAUAGUCAAAAUAAAGCUUUUACCAAACAUAUCGUUGAUGCCUUGAUGCAAUCUUAUGAUGAAAAACUUAAUUUGGAAGUUUCUAUACCUAGAAAACUUAAUGAUGAGUGGGAACCUACUAUAAAGAUUAGAAUUAAAGAUCAUGAGUGUUUUGCUUUGUGUGAUUUUGGUGCUAGUGUUUCCACGAUUCCGGAAACUUUAUGUGAUAUUCUAGGUUUCCAUGAUCUUGAUGAUUGCUCUUUAAAUUUGCACCUUGCGAAUUCCACCAUUAAAAAGCCAAUGGGAAGGAUCAAAGAUGUUCUCAUUGUUGCAAAUAGAAAUUUGGUGCCCGUAGAUUUUAUCGUUCUUGAUAUAGAUUGCAAUCUUUCUUGCCCUAUUAUUCUUGGUAGACCUUUCCUUAGAACGAUUGGUGUGAUUAUUGAUAUGAAGGAAGGGAAUAUUAGAUUCCAAUUUCCAUUAAAGAAAGGCAUGGAGCACUUUCCAAGAAAUAAAGUCAAAUUACCUUAUGAAUCUAUCAUGCGAGCUACUUAUGAAUUUAGUGCCAAAGAUGGCACUACUUAGAUCUAUCUUCGCGUUUAUGCCUAGCUAGGGGGCAUUAAACGAUAGCGCUAGUUGGGAGGCAACCGAAUUUUCUUUGUGUUUUUUGUUUUUGUUCCUGUUUAGUAAUAAAUCUUGCAUCUACCUUCUAUUUAGAUGUGUUUUUAUCUUUUAAUUAGUGUUUGUACCAAGUAGAACCUAUAGGAUAACCUAUGAUGAUAGUUGAUUUGAUUCUGCUGAAAAACAGAAACUUUGCGCGCACGAAUUUAGUUUUGUUCAAUCACAGAAACGUGAUUUUGCGUUGAUUCUUUUUGCUGCUGAUCAAUAGACAAAUUUUCCAGGACUUCCUAUUUUGGUAGGAUGUUUAGAGUUCCACAAGUUUGCGUUAGUUACAGAUUGCUACAGACUGUUCUGUUUUUGAAAGAUUCUGUUUUUCGUGGGUUGUUUGCUUAUUUUGAUGCAUCUAUGGCUAGUAAAAUAGUUUAUAAACCAUAGAGAAGUUGGAAUAUAGUAGGUUUAACACCAAAUUAAAUAAAGAAUUAGUUCAUUAUAGUACCUUAUGUGGUGGUUUUGUUUUCUUUCACUAACGGAGCUUAUAAGAUUUCCUGUUGAGUUUUGUGUUGUGAAGUUUUCAAGUUUUGGGUAAGGCUUUUAUGGACUAUGGAAGAAGGAGUGGCAAGAGCCUAAGCUUGGGGAUGCCCAUGGCACCCCAAGAUAUUCAAGGAUAGCCAAAAGCCUAAGCUUGGGGAUGCGCCGGGAAGGCAUCCCCUCUUUUGUCUUCGUUCAUUGGUAACUUUACUUGGAGCUAUAUUUUUAUUCGCCACAUGAUAUGUGUUUUGCUUGGAGCGUCAUGUAUUAUAUUAGUCUUUUAUUUUUAGUUUACCACAAUCAUACUUGCUGUACACACCUUUUGGGAGAAGCCUACUUGAUUAGAAUUUGUUAGAAUACUCUAUGUGCUUCACUUAUAUCUUUUGAGCUUGAUAGUUUUUGCUCUAGUGCUUCACUUAUAUCUUUUAGAGCACGACGGUGGAUUAAUUUUGAACAAAUUGCUAGUCUCUCAUGCUUCACUUAUAUUAUUUUGAGUGUCUUUUAGAACAGCAUGGUAUUUGCUAUGGUUACAAAUUUGGUCCUAGAAUGAUGAGCACCCAAGUUGGGUAUAAUAAAAACUAUCAUAGAAAGUGAAUUGGAUGCUAUGAUCAAUUUGAUACUUGAUAACUGUUUUGAGAUAUGAAGGUAGUGAUAUUAAAGACAUGCUAGUUGAGGUGAUUAUGAAAAAUACUUGUGUUGAGGUUUGUGAUUCCCGUAGCAUGCACAUAUGGUGAACCGCUUUGUGUUGAAGUUGGAGCACACUUUUAUUUAUUGAUUGUCUUCCUUAUGAGUGGCGGUCGGGGACGAGCGAUGGUAUUUUCCUACCAAUCUAUCCCCCUAGGAGCAUGCGCGUAGUACUUUGUUUUUGAUGACUUCUAGAUUUUUGCAAUAAGUACAUGAGUUCUUUUGACUAAUGUUGAGUCCAUGGAUCAUACGCACUCUCACCCUUCCACCAUUGCUAGCCUCUCUUGUGCCGUGCAACUUUCGCCGGUACCAUAUACCCACCAUAUACCUUCCUCAAAACAGCCAUCAUACCUACCUAUUAUGGCAUUUCCAUAGCCAUUCCGAGAUAUAUUGCCAUGCAACUUUCCAUCGUUCCAUUCAUAUGACACGCAUUACUUUUGUCAUAUUGCUCUUUGCAUGAUCAUGUAGUUGACAUCGUAUUUGUGGCAAGGCCACCUUCAUAAUUUUCAUACAUGUCGCUCUUGAUUCAUUGCAUAUCCCGGUACACCGCUGGCGGCAUUCAUAUAGAGUCAUAUCUUGUUCUAGCUUUGAGUCGUAAUUCUUGAGUUGUAAAUCCAUAAAAGUGUGAUGAUCUUCAUUAUUAGAGCAUUGUCCUAGUGAGGAAAGGAUGAUGAAGACUAUGAUUCCCCCACAAGUCGGGAUGAGACUUCAGACUUUACAAAAAGAAAAAAAAAGAGAAAGGCCUAAAAGAAAAAAAGAAAGGCCAAAGAAAAAAAGCAAAAGAAAAAGAAAGAAAAAGAAAGAAAGAAAAAUAUAAAAUGAGAGAAAAAGAAGGGACAAUGCUACUAUCUCUUUUUCCACACUUGUGCUUCAAGUUAGCACCAUGAUCUUCAUGAUAGAGAGUCUCCUAUGUUGUCACUUGCAUAUACUAGUGGGAAUUUUUCAUUAUAGAACUUGGCUUGUAUAUUCCAAUGAUGGGCUUCCUCAAAAUGCCCUAGGUCUUCGUGAGCAAGCAAGUUGGAUGCACACCCACUUAGUUUCUUUUGUUGAGCUUUCAUAUAUUUAUAGCUCUAGUGUAUCCGUUGCAUGGCAAUCCCUACUCACUCACAUUGAUAUCUAUUAAUGGGCAUCUCCAUAGCCCGUUGAUACGCCUAGUUGAUGUGAGACUAUCUUCUCCUUUUUGUCUUCUCCACAACCACCAUUCUAUUCCACAUAUAGUGCUAUGUCCAUGGCUCACGCUCAUGUAUUGCGUGAAAGUUGAAAAAGUUUGAGAUUAUUAAAGUAUGAAACAAUUUCUUGGCUUGUCAUCGGGGUUGUGCAUAUUAAAUACUUUGUGUGAUGAAGAUAGAGCAACAGCCAGACUAUAUGAUUUUGUAGGGAUAACUUUCUUUGGCCAUGUUAUUUUGAGAAGACAUGAUUACUUUGAUUAGUAUGCUUGAAGUAUCACUAUUUUUAUGUCAAUAUGAACUUUUAUUUUGAAUCAUUUGGAUCUGAACAUUCAUGCCCCAAUAAAGAAAAUUACAUUGAGAAUUAUGCUAGGUAGCAUUCCACAUCAAAAAUUCUGUUUUUAUCAUUUACCUACUCGAGGACGAGUAGGAAUUAAGCUUGGGGAUGCUUGAUACGUAUCCAACGUAUCUAUAAUUUUUGAUUGUUUCAUGCUAUUAUAUUACCCAUUUUGGAUGUUUAUGGGCUUUAUUUUACACAUUUAUAUCAUUUUUGGGACUAACCUACUAACCGGAGGCCCAGCCCGCAUUGCUGUUUUUGCCUAUUUCAGUAUUUCGAAGAAAAGGAAUAUCAAAUGGAGUCCAAACGGAAUGAAACCUUCGGGAGCAUGACUUUUGGAACGAACAUGAUCUAGAGGACUUGGAGUGCAAGUCAAGAAACAACUGAGGUGUCCACGAGAGGGUAGGGCGCCCCCCCCUACAGGGCGCGCCCCCUGUCUCAUGGGCCCCUCGGGCGGCCACCGACGUACUUCUUCCUCCUAUAUAAGCCUACGUACCCCGAAAACAUCCAGGGAGCCAAUGAAACACUAUUUCCGCCACCGUAACCUUCUGUAUCCGUGAGAUCCCAUGUUGGAGCCUGCGCCGGCGCUCCGCCGGAGGGGGAUCAACCAUGGAGGGCUUCUACAUCAACACCAUAGCCCCUCCGAUGAGUUGUGAGUAGUUUACCACAGACCUUCGGGUCCAUAGUUGUGAGUUCUUUGCUUGUUUGUGUAGGUGCAUGGGACUUUUGAGGAGCCUCCUACUGGACUGAUACCUUGGUUCUCAAAAAUUAAGGGAAAUACUUACGCUACUAUUGCUGCAUCACCCUUUCCUCUUCAAGGAAAACGAAUGCAAGCUCAAGACGUAGCAACUACCUUGGUGAAUAAGGCCAUCAAGGUCGAAACUAGUCUGCAGGAACACCAAAGCUCUUACAGGCGCAACCGAGACAUGGGCUCAUCUUCGGGCCCGCCCUCGCAGAAGCGUAGGAUAUGGAUUCCCAACAGCAUGUACCAUCCAACUACACUUGCUCCAAGGCAGUCCUAUGCUGCACUUGCUCACGAGAAUAGCUGUCAUUUUUUACAGAAGAGUGGUUUUAGGUUGAUUCUUUUUGCAGAUGAUUAAUAGAAAAAAUAUUCACGUCCACCAAUUUAUUUCAGAAUUAUUAGAGUUACAGAAGUAUUCAAAAGUUACAGAUUGCUACAGACUGUUCUGUUUUUGACAGAUUCUGUUUUUCGUGUGUUGUUUGCUUAUUUUGAUGAAUCUAUGAGUAGUAUCGGGGGGUAUGAACCAUAGAGAAGUUGGAAUACAGUAGGUUUAACACCAAUAUAAAUAAAUAAUGAGUUAAUUACAUUACCUUAAAGUGGUGGUUUAUUUUCUUAUACUAACAGAGCUCAUGAGAUUUUCUGUUGAAGUUUUGUGUUGUGAAGUUUUCAAGUUUUUGGGUAAAGAUUUGAUGGAUUUGGGAAUAAGGUGUGGCAAGAGCCUAAGCUUGGGGAUGCCCAAGGCACCAAAAGGUAAAAUUCAAGGACAAUCAAAAGCCUAAGCUUGGGUAUGCCCCGUAAGGCAUCCCCUCUUUCCUCUUCGUCUAUCGGUAACUUUACUUGAGGCUAUAUUUUUAUUCACCACAUGAUAUGUGUUUUGCUUGGAGCAUCAUGUAUGAUUUGAGUCUUUGUUUUUUAGUUUAACACAAUCAUCCUUGUUGUACACACCUUUUGGUAGAGACAUGCAUGAAUCGGAAUUUAUUAGAAUACUCUAUGUGCUUCACUUAUAUCUUUUGAGCUAGACAAUAUUGCUCUAGUGCUUCACUUAUAUCUUUUUGGAGCACUGUUGUGGUUUUAUUUUAUAGAAAUUACUGAUCUCUCAUACUUCACUUAUAUUAUUUUGAGAGUCCUUUUGAACAGCAUGGUAAUUUGCUUUGGUUACAAAAUUAGUCCUAAUUUGAUGGGCAUCCAAGAUGGAUAUAAUAAAAAAUUUCAUAUAAAGUGCAAUGAAUACUAUGAGAAGUUUGAUUCUUUAUGAUUCUUUUGAGAUAUGAAGAUGGUGAUAUUAGAGUCAUGCUAGUAGAGUAGUUGUGAAUUUGAGAGAUACUUGUGUUAAAGUAUAAUGCCCCGGAUCCGAUGUGCCAGGUGUCUUCCAGUUAUUCGCCGUCUUUGCCAUGUCAUGUGCUUGCGUGUUGCAUUUUUCCAUGUCAUCAUCUGCUUGCAUCCUCAUGUUUUUCAAAACUUGCAUCCGACCUUUUUCCCCGAAGUCCAUUUCACGAUCCGACACUCUCAUACGCACCCGUUGCACCUCCCAGGCCUCCUUUCGUGAGUGGCAUAUAAAACAUUCUCGGAAUGGGAUGAAACUUGGCGUGCGGUGUUGUUAUAGAGUAGGUAGACCGCCUGUCAAUUUCUGUUCCAUUUGGAGGUCGUUUGAUGCCCUAACGGUUAACCGUGUAACCCAUAUCUCUUUGUAGCCCAGCCCACCUUCAUCACAGCCCACUAGCCCACCUAACCCCCCUCCAUGCUCUCUGUCAUUGGAUCGUGAUCGUGUGGGUGAAAACCGCUCCCCAUUUGGACACUCCUAGCUCCCUCUACCUAUAUAAACACCUCUCCCUCCUCAAAUUCGUGGUUGAACCCUAGCAAUAUUCCUCCUCGCGCCGACGGACACACCCUCCCACCGCCUGGACAUGUCCAUCGCCGCCCACAGCCAAUCGGAGCUCGCCACAUCACUCCACCGCCGUCUCCUCCGCGCCGGCCCGCCGGGCCCGAAUCUCCGCCGCCGCAGCCUGGACGCGCCCGCGCCUCCCGCUCUCGAUCUGGAACGGCCAGGGGCCGAGUCCUGCUCCAGCGCUGCCCCGUCCCUACCUCCACCUCGCCGCCCAGCUGCCGCGCCGGCGAGCACCGCCGCCGCCCUGGUUAGGAGCGCCUCCGACGCCGCCUUCAUCGCUCCGCGCGCCGCCCAAGCUCGCUGCGCCGCCGCCUUCCGCCUUCGCCGCCGCCCUGCGUCCGGAUCUGGCCAGAUCCCGGCCGGAGCAGGCUCCCGCAACCUGUCCCUGCCGGCAGCCGACCGGCCUCGCCGACGAAGACCCUCCCUGCGCCACCAUGGUCACCGCCGUCCCCUGCCUCACUCUUCAUGAUAUGCUAUGUGUUGAUUGAACUAGCUUGCAAGGUAGCCUCCAUGAUGUUUGCUGAUUUCUGCGACUGAUUUUGCUGUCUUUUUCCUGUUACGUUGUGAUGCUAUGUGAACCUGCUUCUACAAGUCUCUCUAUGGAUAAUAUGGAGAUGUUGACUAAGGAUGUUUUGUUAUACAUGCUAUGAUCUAUCCAUCCAUGUCCUUGGUUGCAUUUAUAGCCGGUCGUAGCUUGUUGUAAUCUUGCUCUCAAAUUGCUAAAUAAUUUUGCUGUCAGCCUAUUAACUUUAGGUUCAGUUUUCCCAUGUGAAUAACUAGUGUUCUAUGUACCCUAUGGACUUUCUCUUGCCAUGCUUAGCUUCAUAAUUAUGCCAUCUUAAUGUUGAUUGACUUCACAUGCCAUGAUAUGCUCUGUGGUGAGUUGUACAAGCUCACCAACAUGCCUAGUUGUUGUUGUUCCUGCUAUGUACUGUUAUUUUCACUGUCUGAAUCUGUCAUAUCAUUUGCCAUGUUUGCAUGGAUGCUACCAUCUUCUCGGUUGAUCUUUGGAAUAAGUUCAGUAAGGAAGUUUUGUUAAGUGCUUUUAGUACUAGCAUGCCAUGCUUUAGUUUGCCAUGAUAGUUUGCAGUAACAUGUGGUUUGCUAGGUCUAAACAUUGCAACCUGAUGUUAUUUCUUCCAUGUCUAGUGAAUUUCUGCCAAGUCUGUGAAACUGUUACUAAUUGCAAUCUUGCCAUGUCCUUUUGAGAUUGUUAUAGUGGUUUCUUGAGAUAGCUUAGUGUUCAUGUUGUGUUAUGCUUUACCUGUACAUCAUGUCCAUGUCUUUUGUUUUCAUGUUGAGUGGCUGUAGCAUGUAGUUUUGAUGCUUGUAAGAUGCCUAGUUGUAGGACCUUGAAGUAUGUCUAGAGGGGAGGGUGAUUAGACUACUUGACCAAUUAAAAACUUAACCUUUUCCCAAUUUUAGAGUUUGGCAGAUUUUAGCUAUCUUAGAACAAGUCAAGCAAUCUUCAUCCAAUUCAAACAAGCAUGCAAAGAGUAUAUAGGCAGCGGAAAUUAAAGCAUGCAACUUGCAAGAAAGUAAAGGGAAGGGUUCGGAGGAUUCAAACGCAAUUGGAGACACGGAUAUUUUUGGCGUGGUUCCGAUAGGUGGUGCUAUCGUACAUCCACGUUGAUGGAGACUUCAACCCACGAAGGGUAAUGGUUGCACGAGUCCACGGAGGGCUCCACCCACGAAGGGUCCACGAAGAAGCAACCUUGUCUAUCCCACCAUGGUCGUCGCCCACGAAGGACUUGCCUCACUAGUGGUAGAUCUUCACGAAGUAGGCAAUCUCCUUGCCCUUACAAACUCCUUGGUUCAACUCCACAAUCUUGUCGGAGGCUCCCAAGUGACACCUAGCCAAUCUAAGAGACACCACUCUCCAAGAAGUAACAAAUGGUGCGUUGAUGAUGAACUCCUUGCUCUUGUGCUUCAAAUGAUAGUCUCCCCAACACUCAACUCUCUCUCAUAGGAUUUGGAUCUGGUGGAAAGAAGAUUUGAGUGGAAAGCAACUUGGGAAGGCUAGAGAUCAAGAUUCAUAUGGUAGGAAUGGAAUAUCUUGGCCUCAACACAUGAGUAGGUGGUUCUCUCUCAGAAAUGGUAAGUUGGAAGUGUAGGUUUGUUCUGAUGGCUCUCUCCAUGAAUGAAGAGGAGGUGGAGGGGUAUAUAUAGCCUCCACACAAAAUCUAACCAUUACACACAAUUUACCAAACUCGGUGGGACCGAUUCAACAGACUUGGUCGGACCGAUUUAGUAAACCUAGUGACCGUUAGGAUUCUCGGUGGGACUGACAUGCAACUCGGUAAGACCGAUUUGGUUAGGGUUAAGGCAUAACGUAAUCUCGGUAAGACCGAUCACGCAAUCUCAGUGAGACCGAUUUUGUUAAUAAGCUUUCCAGAGAGUUGGUCAGGUAAACUCGAUGGGACCGAUUUGCUCUUUUCGGUGAGACCGAAAUGUUACAAAAGGGAAACAGAGAGUUUACAUUGCAAUCUCGGUGGGACCGAUCGCUCACUUUGGUUAGACCGAAACAUUACAAAGGGAAACAGAGAGAUUACAAUCUCAUCUCGGUAAGACCGAGACCCCUAUCGGUAGGACCGAUUUGCCUAGGGUUUGUGGCAGUGGCUAUGACAUUAGAACUUGGUGGCGCCGGAUAGAAAGAAUCGGUGUGACCGAUUUUGGCUUUAGGUUUAGGUCAUUUGUGGAUGUGAGAAAGUAGUUGAGGGUUUUUGGAGCAUAUCACCAAGCACAUGAAGCAAGAGGCUCAUUAAGCAACACCUCAUCCCUCCUUGAUAGUAUUGGCUUUUCCUAUAGACUCAAUGUGAUCUUGGAUCACUAAAAUGUAAAAUGAAGAGUCUUGAGAUUUUGAGCUUGAGCCAAUCCUUUGUCAUUAGUACUUUGAGGGAUCCACUUUCAUCAUCCAUGCCAUGCCAUUCAUUGAGCUUUCCUGAAAUAAUAGUCUUGGAAUAGCAUUAGCUCAAUGAGCUAUAUGUUGUUAUGAAUUACCAAAACCACCUAGGGAUAGUUGCACUUUCACUAGUUGCUGUUUUGGACAACUUGUCCUUUAAACUUGUUUCAUGUGUAUGUGUUGAACCAUUGCUCCGUUUUGAGUGUGCUCUAUAUGAAACUUGCUUGGUUUUGCAUGUAGUCUCAUAUUAUCUUGUUUCAUCCGUGUUGUGGGGUGUUGACUUGAUGUUUGAGUGCAUUUUGCAUCAGGGCCAUGCUUAACUUGAGUUGCUCGUAUCUUCCAGGCCGUAGCUCUGAAUUAAAUGAACUCUAUAUGUAAGUUGCCUAAAAAUUCAUGUAGAUUGUCUUGGUGCUCUUUAAAUUGUUGUUUAACCACUUUAACAUAAUGUUUUGUUCAGAUGUGGACCAAUUUCGAAAUUUGCAUAUGAGGACUUAUCGGAAUUGUUAUAUGUUGUUUCCGGCCUCAUUUAAACUUGCUUUGAUGUGUUGCUCUUGUAUGCAUCAUCUCUUGCCAUGAGUAGCUUCAUGUAGCCUUGUCAUGCAUCAUACUUGGUUGAGCAUCAUGCCAUGUUUAUGUGUUGUGUGUUUACCUUGUUGAUUGCUUCUUUCCGGUUGUGCUUCUCGAUAGUUCCUGUUUCGUUGCGAUCGUGAGGAUUCGUUCGACUAUGCUUGGUUCGUCUUCAUCCAUUCGUCUUCUUAAUGGACUCAUUCUUAUUCCUAGCGGGAUUUCAGGCAAGAUGACCGUUUACCCUGGAUCUUACUACUAUCAUUGCUAUGCUAGUUGCUUCGUUCUAUUGCUAUGCUGCGCUACCUAUCACUUGCUUAUCAAGCCUCCCAAAUUGCCAUGUCAGCCUCUAACCUUUUCACCCUUCCUAGCAAACCGUUGCUUGGCUAUGUUACCGCUUUGCUCAGCCCCUCUUAUAGCAUUGUUAGUUGCAGGUGAAGUUGAAGAUUGCUCCAUGUUGGAACAGGAUUAUGUUGGGAUAUCACAAUAUCUCUUAUUUAAUUAAUGCAUCUAUAUACUUAAUAAAGGGUGGAAGGCUCGGCCUUAUGCCUGGUGUUUUGUUCCACUCUUGCCGCCUUAGUUUCCGUCAUACCGGUGUUAUGUUCUUGGAUUUUGCGUUCCUUACGCGGCCGGGUGUAUGGGAACCCAUUGACAGUUCGCUUUGAAUAAAACUCCUCCAGCAAGGCCCAACCUUGGUUUUACAUUUGCCUCACCUAUGCCUUUUUUCCCUUGGGAGUCGCGCUCCCGAGGGUCAUCUAAUUGUUACCCCCCCGGGCCAGUGCUUCUCUAAGUGUUGGUCCGAACCGGGCGAUGUUCGGCGCCCCCUGGGCAACCAGGGUCUAUGCCAACCCGACGUCUUGCCCAUCUGGUGUGCCCUGAGAACGAGAUAUGUGCAGCUCCUAUCGGGAUUUGUCGGCACAUUCGGGCGGUCUUGCUCGUCUUGUUUUACCAUUGUCGAAAUGUCUUGUAACCGGGAUUCCGAGACUGAUCGGGUCUUCCCGGGAGAAGGAAUAUCCUGCGUUGGUCGUGAGAGCUUAUAAUGGGCUAAGUUGGGACACCCCUGCAGGGUUUAAACUUUCAGAAGCCGUGCCCGCAGUUAUGUGGAAGAUGAGAAUUUGUUAAUGUCUGGUUGUGGAGAACUUGACACUUGACUUAAUUAAAAUGCAUCAACCGCGUGUGUAGCCAUGAUGGUCUCUUUUCGCCAGAGUCCGGGAAGUGAACACGGUUUGGGUUAUGUAUGAACGUAAGUAGUUUCAGGAUCACUUCUUGAUCACUUCUAGCUUCUCGGCCGUUGUGUUGCUUCUCUUCUUGCUCUUAUUUGCGUAUGUUAGCCACCAUAUAUGCUUAGACGCUGCUGCAACCUCACCACUUAUCCUUUCCAUUCCCAUUAAGCUUUGCUAGUCUUGAUACCCAUGGUUAUGGGAUUGUUGAGUCCUCGUGGCUCACAGAUUACUACAACAACAGUUUCAGGUACAUGUAAUGCAAUGAUCAUGACGCGAGAGCGAUGCUUGCUUGUUUUGAGUUCUUCUUCUGCUUCGUUGUUCAGAGCAUAGGUUCCAUGUCGGUAGCCUGGGUUAGCAGGGUGGAUGUCGUUGAGUUUCUGUUUGUUUUUCGUCCCUAGUCGGAUGUUGCUCUUAUGUAUCAUGUUGUUGUAUUCAUGUGGUACUGUAUGCCUCUUGUUUGUAUCCCCAACUAUUAUGUAAUGGUACGAUGCAAUGAUAUCCACCUUGCAAAAGCGUCUCCAAUAUGCGCUUCUAUCCUUGGUGGGACCUUCGAGUUCCUUUAGGAUAGGGUCGCAUAUUGGGCGUGACAUAAAGUUUGUGAUUAUCGUAGCAUGCAUGUAUGGUGAACCAUUAUGUGAUGAAGUUGGAGCAUGAUUUAUUUAUUGAUUGUCUUCCUUAUGAGUGGCGAUCGGGGACGAGCGAUGGUCUUUUCCUACCAAUAUAUCCCCCUAGGAGCAUGCCGUAGUACUUCGUUUUGAUAACUAAAGUAUUUUUGCAAUAAGUAUGUGAGUUCUUUAUGACUAAUGUUGAGUCCAUGGAUUAUACACACUCUCACCCUUCCACCAUUGCUAGCCUCUCUAGUACCGUGCAACUUUCGCCGGUACCAUACACCCACCAUAUACCUUCCUCAAAAUAGCCACCAUACCUACCUAUUAUGGCAUUUCCAUAGCCAUUCCGAGAUAUAUUGCCAUGCAACUUUCCACGGUUCCGAUUAUUAUGACACGCUCCAUCAUUGUCAUAUUGCCUUGCAUGAUCAUGUAGUUGACAUCGUAUUUGUGGCAAAGCCACCGUUCAUAAUUUUUUCAUACAUGUCACUCUUGAAUCAUUGCACAUCCCGGUACAGAAUGAAACCUUCGCGAUGAUCUUUCUUGGACCAAAAGCAAACCAGAAGACUUGGAGUUGAAGUCUGAAAUGCCACGAGGUGUCCACGAGCAGGAUGUCAUGCCCAGGGGGUAGGCGCCCCCCACCCUCGUGGGCCCUUGUAGCUCCACCGACGUACUUCUUUCACCUAUAUAUACUCUUAUACCCUAGAAACAUCAAGGAGCCACAGAACCACUUUUCCACCACCGCAACCUUCUGUACCCAUGAGAUCCCAUCUUGGGGCCUUUUCCGGCGAUCUGCCGGAGGGGGAAUCGAUCACGGAGGGCUUCUACAUCAACACCAUUGCUGCUCCGAUGAAGGGUGAGUAGUUUACCACAGAUAGGGCUGGAAUUCGAGCCGAGUCGAGCAAGCUCGGCUCGACUCGCUAGAGCUUGUUUCGUUAACGAGCUAGCUCGACUCGACUCGUUACUAUAACGAGCUCAAACCCAAGAUUGGCUCAACUCAUAUAACUCGCGAGCUGGCUCGUUUAGCUUGUUAAGCUCUUUUAAGAUAUAAACAUAAAGCCCUCAAAUAUGAUAAAAAUGAUUAUGUAUAUAUUAAACAUAUAUAUCACUAAACAAUUGUAAUUUUCUUGUAAUGCACGAGUCUCCUAGGAGGCUAGGCAUUGAACUGCUCGGCCUCGGGUUGUGCGCCUGGGACGUAGGUUGUUUAGUGGCUGAUCUUUCUUUGUAUUGGGAGUGGCUGACCUAAUCGAGCCUAACGAGUUACAUGAGUACUCGUGAGAUUGGCUCGUUUAACUUGGUCUAUAAACGAUCUUAAACUAAAGCUCGGCUCGACUCAUUAUUCUUCGAGUUCGAGUCGAUUCGAGCGGAGUCACGAGCUACUUGUUUAGCUCGCGAGCUUCGAGCUUUUUUUCCAGCCCUAACCACAGACCUUAGGGUCCAUAGUUAUUAGCUAGAUGGCUUCUUCUCUCUCUUUGAUUCUCAAUACAAAGUUCUCCUUGAUGUUCUUGGAGAUCUAUUCGAUGUAAUACUGUUUUGCGGUGUGUUUGCCGAGAUCCGAUGAAUUGUGAAUUUAUGAACAAGAUUAUCUAUGAAUAUUAUUUGGUUCUUCUCUGAAUUCUUAUAUGCAUGAUUUGAUAUCUUUGCAAGUCUCUUCGAAUUAUCGGUUUAGUUUGGCCUACUAGAUUGAUCUUUCUUGCAUUUGGAGAAGUGCUUAGCUUUGGGUUCAAUCUUGCAGUGUCCUGUAACAUCCCAAAUUUCCAAUUUGGUAUGUUAUACAUUAGAUCAUCAUGCAUAUCAUAUUUUAUUGCAUUUCGUUUCGCGAUCCUCGAAAAUCUAAGCAACUCAAGAACCCACGAAGAGAGUUGGGGAUUUCAUCGUUUUCAUAUUUGAAUUUUUCCGAAUAUCGAAACAAGGAUCAUUUUGGUUUUAAUUAUUUUCUCUUCAAAAAUAUUUCAUACUAAAAAUAUAUGAGAGGAGAUAAUAUGACAUCUCCAAAUUAAAUGAAAUAUUCGAGCAAAAAUAUUAAAAUCAAAUAAAAGCUUUAUUGGGAUUUUAUUGCAAUUUUAUUUGAAUUAGAAAAAUUGCACGUUUUCAAAAUUGCAUUUUUAGGUCAAGAAAAUUUUCAUCUUGUUCUAAAUAUUUUAUUUAGACGGUGAACAUUUGUUUUAGUAUUUUUAGAUUUUUAUUUUAUUCUCUAGGAUUUUUUUUUGUCGGAAUCAUUUAAAAAAUGUUCGCACGCCCGACUGGGCCAACGACCCAGCCGAGCCGGGCCGGCCUCGCCCCGCCGUGCAGCCACCGGACUCGAGGAGUCCGACCCCGAGCUGACGUCGCCGUCGCCCCCUUGCCCAAGUCGGCCACACCCCCUCCCCCGCCUCCUAUAAAUACCGCCGCCCUCGACGCCUCUUCGCCACCCACCACCNNNNNNNNNNNNNNNNNNNNNNNNNNNNNNNNNNNNNNNNNNNNNNNNNNNNNNNNNNNNNNNNNNNNNNNNNNNNNNNNNNNNNNNNNNNNNNNNNNNNNNNNNNNNNNNNNNNNNNNNNNNNNNNNNNNNNNNNNNNNNNNNNNNNNNNNNNNNNNNNNNNNNNNNNNNNNNNNNNNNNNNNNNNNNNNNNNNNNNNNNNNNNNNNNNNNNNNNNNNNNNNNNNNNNNNNNNNNNNNNNNNNNNNNNNNNNNNNNNNNNNNNNNNNNNNNNNNNNNNNNNNNNNNNNNNNNNNNNNNNNNNNNNNNNNNNNNNNNNNNNNNNNNNNNNNNNNNNNNNNNNNNNNNNNNNNNNNNNNNNNNNNNNNNNNNNNNNNNNNNNNCGCCCCCUUGCUGCCCCGCCGCCCAAGCCGAGCCCCACCGGAGCCGCCCCGCCUUGCCGAAGCCUCGCCGGAGGUAGAAACCGCCGCCGCCAUGGUUUCAGUUUUUUUUGAAAAACCGCGCAGUUUUUUUUAGAAACCUAGAUAUUUUUUUAGAUUAGAUCGGUUCGGUUUUCUUGGUUUACAUAAAUAGUGGAUGUCCGUCCGUAUGUUCGUUUUAACGAACGGUGUUCACUUGUUAGCCGCAGACAGCGAACGUUCGUUCGUUAGCCUGUUCGUCAGUUUUUCUUUUUCCAGGUUUUUUCCACGAUUAUUUUCGAUGGCAAUUUCUGCCCAGAUUUUCGUUUUAGUUUAUCUUUUCACUCGUUUAUCAGAAUCAGGCGACUCAAGCGCCUAGAUCUUCACCUCAAAGCCCUCUUUAUGUUUAACCAACUUGAACAAGAUUUUGGUACUGUAAAAUUUGACUUUAGACCAUAUUAGUAAACAAAUCUUGUUUCUUUCGCAGUUUGAGUUUUGUUGCUUCCUUUGAUUUGAUUCUUUUUGCAAACUGGAGUUCUUAAGUUGAACUUUUUGGUUAGUUUCUCUUAUUUGAGUUAUACCCAUGCUUCUAGUUGAGUGCUUAUUGUAUGCUUUGUUUGUUUGCAAUAGAGUACCCGGAGUGCGAAGCGUGCUACUACGAGUCUCUAGGUUUCACGGAUCAUCAGCAAGGCAAGUAACACUUUGAUCAUACCUCUUUACUACCCAGUUUUAUUGCAUUAGAUCAACCCUCAAACAAUUGUAUGCUUAGGAUCUGUUUAACAUGUGGGUUCUAGGAAGUAGAUGGUGAGGUAGAACCUAUUGCCCUGUUUAUUAUCAAACCUUUGGGAGUUACUUCUACGUUGCUUAUAUUAAUAUGUUAUGCACGUAGACGUGGUUUGGAUUGAGUGAUUCAUGAUAGAUGUGAGAGUUAUUAUUAAUGGAUAACUUAAGGUGGCUACUUAAUACACAUCUGGGUGGAUUGCUUGAGGCACCCUGGAGUACCCAGUGGUUGUCAGGGCACCUGGAGAAUCCAGUGUUGUCCUAGGAUAUCCCAGAGUACCCGUGUGAUCAUCCUACGGUCCACCACCCAGGCUCAAAGGGAUCAUAAGAUUAUUCAUGCUAGAAACUUCCAUGUGCAGCCACAAGCUAUUAUGGGCUCUAGCAUAGUUGAGUAUGUUGCAAGACCUCUUUCAGUGGUGGGCUAGCAGAUGUAGGGGAAAGUAGGUGUAACUGUCCACCCAGAGUAAAGAGUUAUUAUUUCAAAAAGACUGUCUCUGGUUUCUCCGACCAUGGAUGUAUUCGAGUCUUGUGGGGAAAAGUGCGCAAACCUCUGCAAAGUAUACAAACUAAUCAUGGUUAACCGUGUCCCCGGUUAUGGACGUUUUUGAGUAUCUAGUUCUUGGAUUAUCAUGUUGAUCUCAUCACUCUAAAUUUAAUUUGUAUGGGUUAAUGAUGAUGUUUAAUUGGGAUUGAGUUGGAGGAACCUUCUCAAUGUUUAACAACCACCAUGAUAGUUAAAUAAAAAUAUUCCUUUGUUGUAGGAAAAAAUUGGCUUUAUGCAAAACUAUAACCAUAGAGCUUUCCACCAGCCACAUAUGCAUGUAGUGAUAGCAAUUAUUCUGUUCAUUAUUCUAUGUGUUACAUUGCCAGCAUAUUCCAUGUGCUGACCCAUUUCGGGCUGCAAUGUUGAUGUUGCAGACUUUUCAGACGACGAGUAAGGUGCCAUAGGUCAUAGUAUUUCACUCAGCUAUGCCGUUGGAGUUGAUGGACUCACUUUAUCUUCCAAGCCUUCCGCUGUUAUCGUUUUUAGAUGGCCUUAAGCCAUAUUAUUGUAAUAAGUUCUCUUUUGAGACAUUCGAUGUAAUAAGUGUGUGAUUGCUACUCUGUUAUAAAUCCUCAAGUACUUUGCGUACAGCAUUACUGAUCCAGGGAUGACACUGAUGCACAGAGAUGAGACUGUUUGAGGUCUAGUCGCUACAAGAUGGUAUUAGAGCACACGUUGACUGUAGGACACGACCUAUAAGCUAAAGCCCUAGAUCACUACUCUCUUCUCAUUUCUGACUUCUCUCCUUUUCUACUCUAUAGGAUGGCGGAUGCAAGGAACAAGUUCACCCAACCGGAUGAAGAUACACCUUUUGGACGACACUUGAAAGAAGUUACUAGAUACAUGAACAUCGGAAUACCAAGCUUCACCGGGACCUACAUCACCACUUUACUCAGAAGAUGAGCAUUGGAUGAUUCGAGUUCAAGUUCCAGGAAGAACGUUCAUGCCAGUCACUGAGCCCAUAGAGUUUUCCUUUGAUGCACCCACCUGGAGUCUAGGAAAGAGCAUGGCAGCCCACAUCACUAUGGGACGCAUUGGAGAAGUUUACCACAAGGAUCUCAAGGAUACUAUCUAUCAGAUUUGUGGGCGCCGAGAUGAGCAAUGGGAGAUGAUCAGCACCAGGAAGGAUAGAUCUAUAGCAGCUUUCAUCCAGGAGUUAAACCAACACAUUCGUUGCUGGGAGAACCAGAUGUGCGCAGGCAUGAUAUAUCUAAAGAAGGCAAUGACCAGGAUCAUGGAGCUGGAGGAAGAACUCAAGUCUACACGUGAUGGAUAUGAGGAGGAAAUGACGAUACUCGUGGAGAAGAAUGAUGAUCUGACAAGGAAGCUAGGAGUAUUCAUGGGAGACCCCACGCCAGGAGGAGAAGACGACGAUUCCACUUGUCCGGAGAACUACCUCAUCAUCGACGACACCGACUCGGACCCCGAUGAUAGCGAUGAUGACUAUGUUGAUGAAGCUGGAGCAAUUAUCAUGGAGUCUUCCACCGAUCAAGUUUCCUAGUAAGUAGGGGUAGCAAGACACGUAUUGUAUUGUUGCCAUCGAGGAUAAAAAUAUGGGGUUUAUAUCAUAUUGUUUGAGUUUAUGCCUCUACAUCAUGUCAUCUUGCUUAAUGCGUUACUCCAUUCUUAUGAACUUAAUACUCCAAAUGCAUGCUGGAUAGCGGUCGUUGUGUGGAGUAAUAUUAGUAGAUGCAGAAUCGUUUUGGUCUACUUGACACGGACGUGAUGCCUAUGUUCAUGAUCAUUGCCUUAGAUGUCUUCAUAAUUAUGUACUUUUCUAUCAAUUGCUUGGCAGUAAUUUGUUCACCCACCGUAAUACAUGCUAUCUUGAGAGAAGCCACUAGUGAAACCUAUGGCCCCCGGGUCUCUUUUCCAUUAUAUUGCAUCGCUUUAAAUCUCGUUUACUAUUUUGCAAUCUUUACUUUCCAAUCUAUACAACAAAAAUACCAAAAAUAUUUACUUUAUUAUCUAUAUUAGAUCUCACUUUUGCGAGUGACCGUGAAGGGAUUGACAACCCCUUUAUCGCGUUGGUUGUGAGGUUCUUGAUUGUUUGUGCAUGUAUUCGGUGACUUGUGCGUCGUCUCCUACUGGAUUGAUACCUUGGUUCUCAAAACUGAGGGGAAAUACUUAUGCUACUUUGCUGCAUCACCCUUUCCUCUUCAAGGGAAGAACCAACGCAAGCUCAAGAGGUAGCAGGCGUCGCCGGGUGUGCGCGUGCCUCCGCGGGUUCGUGCCGCGGUUGCUGAAGGCGUGGGCGCCACUGGUCAACCGCGUCGGGGAGGAUGGGGGCACCACAAGCCUCGUCGGAGGUCGUGAUACGUCUCCAUCGUAUCUAUAAUUUUUGUUUGUUCCAUGCCAAUAUUAUUCACUUUCAUAUACUUUUUGGCAACUUUUUAUAUUAUUUUUGGGACUAACUUAUUGAUCCAGCGCCCAGUGCCAGUUCCUGUCUGUUGCAUGUUUUAUGUUUCGUAGAAUAUCCAUAUCAAACGGAGUCCAAACGGGAUAAAAACGGACGGAGCUUAUUUUUGGAAAAUAUGGAAAAUUCCGGAAGAAAAAUCAACGCGAACCAGUGCCCGAGGUGGUCACGAGGCAGGGGGGCGCGCCUGCCCCCCUGGGCGCGCCCCUACCCUCGUGAGCCCACCGUAAGGCGGUUGCCGCUCUUCUUUUGCCGCAAUAAAGCUAAUAUUCGGAAAAAAAUCACGGCGAAGGUUUCAGGCCAAUCGGAGUUACGGAUCUCCAUAUAUACACGAAACGGUGAAACAGAGCCAGAACAGAACGCAAGAACAGAGAGAUAGAUCCAAUCUCGGAGGGGCUCUCGCCCCUCCCAUGCCAUGGGAGCCAAGGACCAGAGGGGAAACCCUUCUCCCAUCUAGGGAGGAGGUCAAGGAAGAAGAAGAAGAAGUGGGGCUCUCUCCCCCUUGCUUCCGGUGGCGCCGGAACGCCGCCGGGGGCCAUCAUCAUCACCGCGAUCUUCAUCAACACCUCCGCCAUCUUCACAAACAUCUCCAUCACCUUCCCCCAUCUAUAUCCAGCGGUCCACUCUCCCGCAACCCGCUGUACCCUCUACUUGAACAUGGUGCUUUAUGCUUCAUAUUAUUUUCCAAUGAUGUGUUGCCAUCCUAUGAUGUCUGAGUAGAUUUUCGUUGUCCUAUCGAUGAUUGAUGAAUUGCUAUGAUUGGUUUGAGUUGCAUGUUUUAUUAUUGGUGUUGUCCUAUUGUGCCCUCCGUGUCGCGCAAGCGUGAGGGAUUCCCGCUGUAGGGUUUGCAAUAUGUCUAUGAUUUGCUUAUGGUGGGUGGCGUGAGUGACAGAAGCACAUACCCGAGUAAGUAGGUUGUUUGCGUAUGGGAUAAAGAGGACUUGAUACUUUAAUGCUAUGGUUGGGUUUUACCUUGAUGAAUCUUUAGUAGUUGCGAACGCUUGCUAGAGUUCCAAUCAUAAGUGCAUAUGAUCUAAGUAGAGGAAGUAUGUUAGCUUAUGCCUCUCCCUCAAAUAGAAUUGCAAUAGUGAUUACUGGUCUAGUAACGUAGUCAAUUGCUUAGGGGCAAUUUCACAACUCCUACCACCACUUUUCCGCACUUGCUAUAUUUACUUUAUUGUCUCUUUAUCUAAACAACCCCUAUUUUUUGUUUACAUGUUCUUUAUUAUCUUGCAAACUUAUCCUAUCACACCUACGAAGUACUUCUAGUUUCAUACUUGUUCUAGGUAAAGCGAACAUCAAGCGUGCGUAGAGUCGUAUCAGUGGCCGAUAGGACUUGAGAGAGUAUUUGUUCUACCUUUAGCUCCUCGUUGGGUUCGACACUCUUACUUAUCGAAAGAGGCUACAACUAUCCCGUAUACUUGCGGGUCAUCAAGACCUUUUUCUGGCGCCGUUGCCAGGGAAUCAUAGCGUGCUGUGAAUAUUCUCGUGUGUGCUUGUUUGCUUUAUCACUAAGUAAUAUUUAUUUGCUAUUCUUAGUCGUUUUCUAUCUUUAGUCAUGGGUAGGAAACCCAAAAUACCAAAAAAAUUAGUUGUACCUACUGCUCCAAUGGUUGAAGAACCACUCAAAAUCUAUCACACUACUGAAGCUUUUUACUUAUACCAUCUUCGAUCCCUUUGUGCUCGUGCUGAAACCCCAACUAGCUUAGUUGAGGGCAAAUCUUUAGAUGAGCAUGCUUGUUAUGUGCGACACCGUAUAUCUGAAAAAGGGAAACUAUUAUGGGAUCAAAUUCAACGCUUGCAAUGCUAUGCUUGGAAUUUAUGUUAUCUAUAUGAUUUUACUUGUUGUUCUGAAAACCCUAAGAAACACCUUCCCUACCAAUGUGAGUUUAGUGAUAAUGGAAUCAUAUCUUCAUAUGCUAAGGGUGUUUAUAAUUACUAUGAUGUUCAACAAAUUGAAGAAUUUGUUGCUUUUAAGGGUGCUUUAGAAAUUGCUUCUUUGAUUGAAAAGUAUGAUGCUACUCUUUACAAUUCUGAAAGUUUUGCCAUACUUGAAUAUUGUUAUGAUAAUUAUUCUUCUAAUGACCAUGUUAAACCAUAUAUUGAGAAAUUCUCCGUUGUCCAAAAAGAGAUUAAUAUUUUGCAGGAAUCUAUGGAAGAAUAAAUUGAUGAAACUGUGAGCUCAUUGGAUGAAAAAGAUGAUGAGAAGAGCGAAGAACAAAAGGAGGAAGAGCGGAUUGAUCACCCGUGCCCACCUUCCAAUGAGAGUAACUCUUCUUCAACUCAUACACUGUUUAAUUCCCCUUCGUGCUUACCGAAGGAUGAUUGCUAUGAUGACUAUUAUGAUCCCAUUAAUUCUCUUGAAAUAUCCCUUUUUGAUGAUACUUGCUAUGCUUGUGGCCAAGAUGCCAAUAUGAAUUAUGCUUAUGGAGAUGAAAUUGCUAUAGUUCCUUGUGUUAAACAUGAAAUUGUUGCUAUUGCACCCACGCAUGAUAGUCCUAUUAUCUAUUUGAAUUCUCCCGACUACACUAUUUAGGAGAAGUUUGUGCUUAGUAAGGAUUAUAUUGUUGGGUUGCCUUUUACCGAUGCACAUGAUGAUUUUGAUAUAUAUAAUAUGCAUGUGCUUGUUGCUCCUACUUGCAAUUAUUAUGAGAGAGGAACUACAUCUCCGCCUCUUUAUGUUUCCAACACGAUAGAAUUGCAAGAAACUGCGUAUACUAUGCAUUGGCCUUUACUAUGUGUGCAUGAAUUGUUCUUUUAUGACAUGCCGAUGCAUAGGAAGAGAGUUAGACUUCGUCAUUACAUGAUUUAUGUUACUUUUUGCUCACUGCUAAAUUACAAAUCAUUGUUAAUUAAAAUUGGCUUUGAUAUACCUUGGGAUCCGGGUGGAUUCACUACUUGAGCACUAUAUGCCUAGCUUAAUGGCUUUAAAGAAAGCGCUGCCAGGGAGACAACCUGGAAGUUUUAGAGAGUCAUUUAUUUCUGUUGAGUGAUUUCAUAUAGUUUAAAAACAACAAAAAUAAAGAGGGGAACCCAAAACUUUUCAAAAAGAGAAGUGAAAGUGAGAGAGACGAGCAUUGUGAAAGUGGGGGACGUCCUUGAACUUUGUUCAUGCCCAUGGGAACUUCGUGAGUCUUAAUUACAGAAAAUUUUCAAUAAAAAUAAUUAUCCCCUUGUACAAUUCCAUUGUAUUAUAAAAAUAAUGUGCCAAGGUUUGCCUUUAGGAUGUUUAUAGUGCUUGUUGGUUUGUACGAUGCAGGACAGAAACUUUGGCUGUAGGGAGCAAUUUUAUAUUUUUAACUGAAACGUCAAUUGGUUCUGAUUCCUUUUGCACUGUAUUUCUAUACAACUUGUUUAUUUUUGCUAAUUUUGGUAGAAGUUUUGGGGUACCAGAAGUAUGGUGGAUGUUCAGAUUGCUACAGACUGUUCUGUUUUAGACAGAUUCUGUUUUUGAUGCAUAGUUUGCUUGUUUUGAUGAAACUAUCAAUUUAUAUCAGUGGAUUAAGCCAUGGAAAAGUUAUAUUACAGUAGAAACAAUGCAAAAAUAAAAUAUGAAUUGGUUUGCAACAGUACUUAGAGUGGUGAUUUGCUUUAUUAUACUAACGGAUCUUACCGAGUUUUCUGUUGAAGUUUUGUGGAUGUAGUGUCUAAUUGAGGAUGUUUCGAUGUGAGUAGAAGGAAGAGAGGCAAGAGCUCAAGAUUGGGGAUGCCCGAGGCACCCCAAGUAAAUAUUCAAGGAGACUCAAGCGUCUAAGCUUGGGGAUACUGGGGAGGCAUCCCCUCUUUCUUCAAAAGUAUCGGUAUGUUUCGGAUUCGUUUCGUUCAUGCAUUAUGUGCAAGGCUUGGAGCGUCUUUUGCAAUUAGGUUUUUAUUUUUCUUUUAUGCACCAUGCUGGUAUGAGAUAUUCCUUGGUUGAUUUAUAGAAUGCUCAUUGCACUUCACUUAAAUCAUUUGAGUGUGGCUUUAUAGAAUGCUUCAUGUGCUUCACUUAUAUCAUUUGAAGUUGGAUUGCCUGUUUCUCUUUGCAUAGAAAACCACCAUUUGUAGAAUGCUCUUUUGCUUCACUUAUAUUUGUUAGAGCAUGGGCAUAUCUUUUGUAGAAAGAACUAAACUCUCUUGCUUCACUUAUAUCUAUUUAGAGAGAUGACAGGAAUUGGUCAUUCACAUGGUUAGUCAUAAAAUCCUACAUAAACUUGUAGAUCGCUGAAUAUGAUAUGUUUGAUUCCUUGCAAUAGUUUUGCGAUAUAAAGAUGGUGAUAUUAGAGUUAUGCUAGUGGGUGGUUGUGGAUUGUAGAGACACUUGUGUUGAGGUUUGCAAGUCCUGCAGCAUGCACGUAUGGUAACCGUUGUGUGACAAAUUUGAAGCAUGGGGUGUUUGUUUGAUUGUCUUCCUUAUGAGUGGCGGUCGGGGACGAGCGAUGGUCUUUUUCUACCAAUCUAUCCCCCUAGGGGCAUGCGUAGUAGUACUUUGCUUCGAGGGCUAAUAAACUUUCACAAUAAGUAUAUGAGUUCUUUAUGACUAAUGUGAGUCCAUGGAUUAUACGCACUUUUACCUUUCCAUCAUUGCUAGCCUCUUCGGUACCGUGCAUUGCCCUUUCUCACCUCGAGCGUUGGUGCAAACUUCGCCGGUGCAUCCAAACCCCGUGAUACGAUACGCUCUAUCACACAUAAGCCUCAUUAUAUCUUCCUCAAAACAGCCACCAUACCUACCUAUCAUGGCAUUUCCAUAGCCAUUCCGAGAUAUAUUGCCAUGCAACUUCCAUCAUCAUCAUAUUCAUGACUUGAGCAUUCAUUGUCAUAUUGCUUUGCAUGAUCGUAAGAUAUCUAGCAUGAUGUUUUCAUGGCUUGUCCAUUUUUGAUGUCAUUGCUAUGCUAGAUCAUUGCACAUCCCGGUACACCGUCGGAAGCAUUCAUAUAGAGUCAUAUCUUUGUUCCAGUAUCGAGUUGUAAGUAAAUAAAAGUGUGAUGAUCAUCAUUAUUAGAGCAUUGUCCCCCCCCCCCCCAAAAAAAGGGGCAAUGUUACUAUCUCUUUUUCCACACUUGUGCUUCAAAGUAGCACCAUGUUCUUCAUGUAGUGAGUCUCAUAUCUUGUGCUUCAAAGUAGCACCAUGUUCUUCAUAUAGAUUGUCUCCUAUGUUGUCACUUUCAUAUACUAGUGGGAAUUUUCAUUAUAGAACUUGGCUUGUAUAUUCCAACGAUGGGCUUCCUUAAAUGCCCUAGGUCUUCAUGAGCAAGCAAGUUUGAUGCACACCCACUCACUUUCUUUUGUUGAGCUUUCAUACACUUAUAGCUCUUAGUGCAUCCGUUGCAUGGCAAUCUCUACUCCUCGCAUUGACAUCAAUUGAUGGGCAUCUCCAUAGCCCGUUGAUUAGCCGCGUCGAUGUGAGACUUUCUCCUUUUUUUGUCUUCUCCACAUAACCUCCAUCAUUAUAUUCUAUUCCACCUAUAGUGCUAUAUCCAUGACUUGCGCUCAUGUAUUGCGUGAGGGUUGAAAAAGCUGAAGCGCGUUAAAAGGUAUGAACCAAUUGCUCGGCUUGUCAUCGGGGUCGUGCAUGAUGGGGGCAUUUUGUGUGACGAAAAUGAAGCAUGGCCAAACUGUAUGAUUUUGUAGGGAUAAGCUUGCUUUGGCCUUGUUGUUUUGAAAAGACAUGAUUGCUUUAUUGGUACGCUCGAAGUAUUAUUGUUUUUAUGUCAAAUGAUAGACUAUUGCUUUGAAUCACUCGUGUCUUAAUAUUCAUGCCAUGAUUAGACAUAUGAUCAAGAUUAUGCUAGGUAGCAUUCCACAUCAAAAAUUAUUCUUUUUUAUCAUUUACCUACUCGAGGACGAGCAGGAUUAAGCUUGGGGAUGCUGAUACGUCUCCGUCGUAUCUAUUAUUUUUGUUUGUUCCAUGCCAAUAUUAUUCACUUUCAUAUACUUUUUGGCAACUUUUUAUAUUAUUUUUGGGACUAACUUAUUGAUCCAGCGCCCAGUGCCAGUUCCUGUCUGUUGCAUGUUUUAUGUUUCGUAGAAUAUCCAUAUCAAACGGAGUCCAAACGGGAUAAAAACGGACGGAGCUUAUUUUUGGAAAAUAUGGAAAAUUCCGGAAGAAAAAUCAACGCGAACCAGUGCCCGAGGUGGUCACGAGGCAGGGGGGCGCGCCUGCCCCCCUGGGCGCGCCCCUACCCUCGUGAGCCCACCGUAAGGCGGUUGCCGCUCUUCUUUUGCCGCAAUAAAGCUAAUAUUCGGAAAAAAUCACGGCGAAGGUUUCAGGCCAAUCGGAGUUACGGAUCUCCAUAUACACACGAGAUGGUGAAACAGAGCUAGAACAGAACGCAGGAACAGAGAGAUAGAUCCAAUCUCGGAGGGGCUCUCGCCCCUCCCAUGCCAUGGGAGCCAAGGACUAGUGGGGAAACCCUUCUUCCAUCUAGGGAGGAGGUCAAGGACGAAGAAGAAGAAGAAAGGGGGCUCUCUCCCCCUUGCUUCCGGUGGCGCCAGAACGCCGCCGGGGGCCAUCAUCAUCACCGCGAUCUUCACCAACACCUCCGCCAUCUUCACAAACAUCUCCAUCACCUUCCCCCAUCUAUAUCCAGUGGUCCACUUUCCCGCAACCCUAUGUACCCUCUACUUGAACAUGGUGCUUUAUGCUUCAUAUUAUUUUCCAAUGAUGUGUUGCCAUCCUAUGAUGUCUGAGUAGAUUUUCGUUGUCCUAUCGAUGGUUGAUGAAUUGCUAUGAUUGGUUUGAGUUGCAUGUUUUAUUAUUAGUGCUGUCCUACUGUGCCCUCCGUGUCGCGCAAGCAUGAGGGAUUCCCGCUGUAGGGUUUGCAAUAUGUCUAUGAUUUGCUUAUGGUGGGUGGCGUGAGUGACAGAAGCACAUACCCGAGUAAGUAGGUUGUUUGCGUAUGGGAUAAAGAGGACUUGAUACUUUAAUGCUAUGGUUGGGUUUUACCUUGAUGAAUCUUUAGUAGUUGCGAACGCUUGCUAGAGUUCCAAUCAUAAGUGCAUAUGAUCUAAGUAGAGGAAGUAUGUUAGCUUAUGCCUCUCCCUCAAAUAGAAUUGCAAUAGUGAUUACUGGUCUAGUAACGUAGUCAAUUGCUUAGGGGCAAUUUCACAACUCCUACCACCACUUUUCCGCACUUGCUAUAUUUACUUUAUUGUCUCUUUAUCUAAACAACCCCUAUUUUUUGUUUACAUGUUCUUUAUUAUCUUGCAAACUUAUCCUAUCACACCUACGAAGUACUUCUAGUUUCAUACUUGUUCUAGGUAAAGCAAACGUCAAGCAUGCGUAGAGUCGUAUCAGUGGCCGAUAGGACUUGAGAGAGUAUUUGUUCUACCUUUAGCUCCUCGUUGGGUUCGACACUCUUACUUAUCGAAAGAGGCUACAACUAUCCCGUAUACUUGCGGGUCAUCAGGUCGCCUCUCCAUCUACCACAACUCCGGCACUCGUCCUCCUCACCGGCGGUCGCCUCUCCAUCCGCCACGGCCCCGGUGCUCGUCCUCCUGACCAUUAUCACCCAGCGAUCCUCCCCGCCGUGGCACGGCCUCUGACCUCGACGGUGGCUGCUAAACCCGCAGGUCUCUCUCUCUCUCUCCCUCUCUCUCCAUCUCCACUACUAAUCUUCCUUUUUGCAGCUCACAUGCUAGGGAACGGAUUCACAGUCACAAUGGAGUACUUGGUGUGACAUCCAGCCGCAGGUUGGUAUUCUACCCCUCUGAGAUGCACAUGAUUUAGUUGAGCCAGCGUUGGUUACAUGUAGUGUCCCUUUUGCUAUAUCUAAUGUCAAUAUUCGGGAUUCUCACAUUGUAAUGGGUGGGAGUCCUAUGAUUUUCCUGCAGAAAAAGUAUGUGGAUACAUUGUUAGGUGACAACUUGUUGUGGGUUGUACGAAUUCCCUAGCAUACUGAGCUGCAAAAAAGGGGAUAUCGGGUAGAUGUCAACACUCCACCCUUUUUCCGCAUUUCUCUCCCUAUCUCUUUCGAUUUGAUUUUGUCUCUAGAAUUGUUGCUUCCUAUGUACUACCUCUAUUCCAAAAUGUAGGUCGUUUAACGAUCUGUAGUGCAAACUUUGCCACACUACGAAUUUUCCAACUUUCCAUUUCUACCCUCACUAGUCGUUCCCCACCACUCGCUCCCCACCGCCACCCUGUCCCCACUCACUCCCCACCACUCGCCUCUCUCUCUCGCGCGCGCGCCGCCACCCUCUCCCUGUCGAUGCUCCCUCUCGCCAGCAUCUUGCUCUACACCGCUGCUUAGCUCACCGCUCCCCACCACCGUGAUUCAUGUCGCAUCGCUAAUCCGCCUACCGCAGAGAAACAAAACUUCCAUUUUUAUGCGCCGCCGACAUGCUGCUGGGCAAGGAGGAGCUGGAUCCGCGUGCGUUGGCGCUAAAUCUGAGUGCGCUGGUGCUUGAUCUACUUUGUGGAUAGGAGUGAAGGAGGUGCUGAAGCGGAGCCCGAGAGGCACCGGUCGGCGUGAAGACGGCAACGUGAGGAGAUGGAGCCCGAGCGGGAGGAGUUGGAGCCGCAUCUGGACGUCGCCAUGAUGAGGAGAUGGAGCCGCAUAUGGACGCCCCCAUGAGUUGGACUUCCCCGACCACGAUGACGUUGAUGCCGUGGUUUUUUUUAUGCUUGAGCUUGCUGUAAUGAAUGGAUUCUUCGUGUACUCCAGCUUGACUGUACUCCAGAGGCUGGAUGGGUGGGUGGAGUAGGAUUAGUUAGUGCAUGCGUAGGCUGGAUGGAGUAGGAUUAGUUAGUGGAUCAGGCCCGAGCUUAGUUAGUGGAUGCAUUAGGAGUAAAAUUCAGUAAGAUGUGUACUGUCUCAAAAUUUAAGAAGUCCUGCUCUAAAAUUCAGUAAAAUUUGUAGUGUACUCUAAACUCUGAAGUUAAUGGAUGGAUUAUUUGAACUCUGAACUCUGAAAUUUGAACUCUAAAUUUUGUACUAUCUCAAAAUUCAGUAAGAUUUGUACUGUACUUGAACUCUGAAAUUUGGUUUUGACUGAAGAUCGGUAAGAUUCACAGUUUGUGUUGUUCUGAAUAAGAGUUUUGACUGAAGAUCAGUAAGAUUAGUUGAGCUGGAGUAGAAGUAGAUACCAUGUUG
rnacentral:lncRNA from 1 species